rnacentral:lncRNA from 1 species
UUUCAAAUGAUAUUAUUUUGCAAUAAAAUUUUAUUUAAAUCAAUUUGUUCAAAAAUUUACAAUUAUAAGUUGACGAAUAUAUUACAAUUAAGGCACUAAAUCCUAAUUGUCAUAUCCUUGACCUAGGACGUCAUGUCACCACCACGACAAGGAGAAAAGGUAUAACCCUGUUGUCAACAAGCCUAGUGUCGAUAGGCCAAUUUGUCCGGCCCCUUUUGAAACCCAAAAUAAACCAAGAAAAAAGAAUAAACAAAACAGUCCAUUAAUAUUCUAUUUACAGCCCAAUACCUAAGCCCAAUUACAUGACCCUAUAACUAAUACCCUAGCCCAGUUACAAAACAGCCCAAAGCUCCAAGACCCAAAUGGCCCAGAAACUGAGCCCAAUUUCUAAGCCCAAUUACAUGACCCUAUAACUAAUACCCUAGCCCAGUUACAAAACAGCCCAAAGCUCCAAGACCCAAAUGGCCCAGAAACUGAGCCCAAUUUCGGUAAACCCUAGGGCAAAGGUCUCCUCGCUCCGCAGCCCUCACUGGCGGCCUAACCACGCAGUAGUCCCAGCCUCCACACCUCCGUGCGGCCUCCUGGCACCACGCCCACGCCCCGUACGCCAGCACAUGGCUGCGUACCCGAGCGCACACCCGUACCUGCAAGAACACAGACAGAGCAGUAGCCAAUACCAAAGCAAAGAAAAAACUUGUAUUUUUCUUUAUUUUUUUUUGAACAUUCAACUAUAAAAGCCUACUAUCUUCGAUUGUAAACUUUUUUUUGAAGGAGGGACACAAGCACAUUUCUACACACUGAAUACAAAAAAACGCGAAAAAAAAGGAAUAUACACAUACAAUAGCAAUCGAAUACAGAGGUUGAAUAUUCUUCAAAGGUGGUUCCUUUUUAUUUUUUUUACGCCUCCAUUUUUCCAUUUCUGCUUCGAAAUCUAUCAAAAACGCAAAAAGAAAACGAAAGAGGAGUUUACCUUGCGAAGCUAGCCGUCGUUUCCCCUUCACUUCGUCGAAAUCGAAGUCUGAAUGGGGUCUCAAGGGCCAAAACCACUCUUUUAGGGCUCGAACGCGCAGAUCGUUGUUCGUGUGGCACAUUAGUGCCGAGGGUAGCAUUUUGGGGUUAAUUGGGCAGCAAAAGGGGGAGGUUGAUACACUGCUAGGGUUUCGGCUGAAUGAAAACCCACUUAGUCUUUUAAAGAAGCAAAAACGGCACCGUUUAGGUCAAAUGUAACGGCCAAAAAAGACGUCAUUUGAAACUUUGCCCGGCGACCCGACCCAAUGGCCCCUGGGAUCCGCGCGUUUUCGCGGUGAGGGGUUAAUUUUCUUUAAAUCCCUCCCUUUUUGCGCCACGUUUAGAUCGGCCCAUCUGUGAUUUUUUCUAUUUUUUAAUUUUUUCCUUUAAUUUACGCUAUUUUUCAAUCAGGUCCGCACUUGUGCGCAGCGUUUUAGGGCCUGGAUUAAUUCCAGUUUGAGUCCCUAUGCUUUGUGUGCUUCGCACUUCAGUCCUCUUUUAGUUUUGUUUUCAAAUUAUGCCUUUGAUUUUGGAUUGAUUCUAAUUAAACCCUUUUAAUUUAUAACUUUUAUUCUUGACUGCUGAUUCAUACGAUUGUUUUAAAGUUUCUUUUUAUUAUGUUAAUAUCGUUAUUUUAUUUUCUAUAUACAUAUAUAUUUGUACAUGCACAACUUUGUUUUGUUUUGUAAAGUCACUUUGAAUUUCUUGUUGCAUUAAGUUAUUUUGAUAUUCUCAUAUAACCACUUGUGUAAAUAUUAUUAUAUAUAUAUACACACGUAUACUUUGUAUUAAAGCUAAUUUUAUUAUAUAUAUAUAUUAACCCCAUAUUGUUUUACAUACGUUUUUUUUAAAAAAUUUAUUUUUGUCUUGCGUUAUAUAAUCCUAUGUAAUAUUUUAAAGUUAUUAUUAUUAUAAUAUAUAUAUAUAUGCAUUGUGGAUAUCAUAUUUAAUCUAUACAUUAUUAAACUCGCGUAUUUUACGCAUAUGGUUUUCUUUCUAUAUAGGUAUGCUUUUAAAUCUAUCAUAUAACUUCCAAUAAAAUCAAGUUAAUUUUGUAUGCAUUACAUGUUUUUACGAAUAAUUACUUUUAAGGUUAUAUAUAAAUAUACGAUGUGUAAAUUCAUUAUGUUUCUAAGAUUAUGUUUUAUUAUACAUUUUUUGUAAUCUUUUCAUCUUUGGUACAUAUUUUAAAUUUUUUAUGAAAAUUGUCAUUUUUAAGCUAAUGUUCUUCAAUAUUUUGUAUGUUAUUUGAUUAAAAAUAUUUAUUCCAUAACAUAUAUUUUAAUAAUUAUGUACAUAUGAAACAAUUUUAAAAAUUUAUAUCUUAUUAUCAAUCUCAUGUUUUUUUUAAUAAACUUACAUGUAUAUAUGUUUUAUAAAUCUAUUUUGUGUAUUAUGUCUAGUCACAUAUUUUCAUUAUUAUUCUUUUAAAUAUAUUAUUUAAAUCAUCAUAUAGUUUGUCAACUUUUAAAUAUACUUGUGUUUAAAAUAUUUCAUAUACAAUUCGAUUCAAACUUUCAUUCUACAAUAUAUAUUUUAAUGAUUGCAUGUGUACAUUAAGCUUGUCUUUACAAAUAUUUUCUAAUUUGUUGAUCCAUCAAUUCAUAUAGUGUGUAUCAUGUACUUUUCAUAGUUUUAAAAUAGUUUCAUACCAUAUUGCUUCUUCGAUUUGCAUUUUUUUUUAUGCAUCUAGUAGUAAUCAUUUUAUGUUAUGACAUGCAUGUUGUUGUAGCAUAUUAUUUGUCCAUUGUCUUAUGUUGUCAUGUUAAUUAUUCUCCAUGCAUAAUUGAAGUUGAGUUAUAUUUUCAAGUUAGUUAUACUUAGUUGCUUAAGUGUUUGUUAGUUGAUUAAAUAAAUUGUAUUGCCUCCACUCUUCCAUUGUCGUGUUUUAUGCUACACUUAUUACCCCAUAUCAUCGUUUUCCACUCGAUUUUUGAAAUGUGGUUUUAUAAAAUCUAAAUUUUAUGGUUAAUUUCGUCUUAUUUCAAAUCGAGUUGAUGUGCUUUAAGCUAGUUUCACAACUAUUAGGAAUUCUUUAAAACGAAUGCGAUAUUCAAUACUUGGUAAUUCGUGGAAUCGUGCCCUAACGUGUUGGGUUGCAAUUUCUCAUUUACUCAAAGUAAUCGAAGGUCCCUUUAGAAUUUCACCUAUGUCUUUUAAAAAUCCCUUGAACGAAGGCGAUGUACUAUAUUUGGCAAUUCACAGAAUCGUGCCCUAAUGUGCUGGGUUGCAAUUUCUCGUCUACGUAAAAUAAUCAAAUAUCCCUUCAACAUUUCACUCGUGUCUUCUAAAAAUCCGUUAAAACGAAGGCAAUAUUCGGUGUUCGACAAUUUGGGAAUCAUGCCCUAUCGUGCUGGGUUGUGAUUUCUCGUUUGCUCAAAACAAUCGAAUAUUCCUUUAGGUUUUCACUCAUGUUUGUUAAGAACCUUUCAAAACGAGGAAUGUUUGAUGUUUGGUGAUUUGAGAAUCGUGUCCUAUCGUGUUGGGUUGCGAUUCCCUGUUUGUUCAAAACAAUCGAAUAUUCCUUUAAGAAUUUCACUCAUGUUUUUUUAAAUUCUAAAAAUAAGGCAAUGUCCGAUAUCUAGAAAUUCGAGGAAUCGUACUCUACUGUGCUGGGUUUCGAUUUUCUCAUUGAACUAGAUAAUUAGGCAUCCUUUUACGGUUUCCAAUAUAUAAAUUUCUGGAACUCAAAACUUAUCAUGUUUUCGAGGGUAGAAAGGAUCGUGUCCUAUUGUGCUGGAUGUGAUGCUAUAUUCCUCUUAAGCAAGAGAAUUUUGAUGACCGACUCGGGUUAUUCAAAUGUUAUUAAAAGAAACCACCUUUCAAAAACAUUUUUAAAUCUUAGACAUAAGGAUAACAUUUAAUCAAUUUGGUACCAAUUUUGGGCAUAGUGAGGGUGCUAAUCCUUCCUCAUGCGUAACCGACUCCCGAACCCGUUUUCUCAUAUUUUCGUAGACCAGAAUCGUUGUUUUAGUAAACCAAAAAUGUUUUAUUAAAAUAACCAAAUUCUUAGGUGAUCUGAUCACACCAAAAUAAGAAGAUCGGUGGGGACUCCAUGUAUUUGUUUUUCAAAAGUCGAUUCCCUCAUUUUUCAAUUGAUUAAAUUUUUUAAAUGAAAAGGGUGGUUUCGAAACCCAGGAUGUGUGGGCUCCUUUAUCCCCAAUAUAUAAACCCAACCACAACAUCUAAGAAGAAAAAGACCACGAAAAAAAACUUUUACUUCUGACCAACCUAAACUAGUACUUCCAAUCUCUUCCCUAUUCACCAAAAACUGUAACUCUUUGCCCUAGUUUAGGGUGACCCACUUUCACCUUAACCUUUCUCUCUCCCUUGAUGAUUCACCUGUCAAGAAUUUGGUGCGGUAAGCAUUGAAAACAAUUGUCAACCUAGAUUAUAAUGUCCUCCAAACCAAUGAGUACAGUCCUUGUAGUAUCCAACAAGAUCCCUAGAAAGAUUUAGCAGACUACACAUAGACAAGUACAAUAUAAAAACGUUUGCAUGCACAACCUAACCCCCAUCAGCAGACUCAGUAUAAUCCAUACCAACAAAUACAAUAUAACCCUUACCAACAGUAUUAUCAAUAACCCCCAUGAUAUUAUGAUUACCACCUCCGAACUCAUACUAGUACUCCUUGUUGGAAAAAGUCUGAUUUGAACAGUUUUCUUGCAUAGAGGAAAAUAAAAAUUUUGAAAUCCGACCCGAUUUUUUAUAUUUAUAGCAAUAAACUCUAGACUGAAUUCACACAUGUGUUUUUGAAUAGACGGAUCCUUUUCAUUCUUGGCUCUCAACUAAAUGAUCUUCUUUGCUAUUCUCGUACCACAAGCUACUUCAAAAUCCCGUUUUUGUAAACUAAACUUGUAAAUAUUGUUAUUAAAUAUUUAUGGAGUUAUAUUAGAAGUGAAUUCAAUUUCAGAUAAGUAAUUUUGUUGAAUUAGUGUUUAAUUAGGGUGCAAUGACUAAAUCAUAAAAGUGCCAAAAGUUAAAUUGUUAGUGAACCAUUAUGUAGAACUUAGCAAAGAGACUUAUGAGGCUAUUAAAGCAUUGUUAUAUUAAUAGUGGACAACAACAUGGGUUUUAAAUGGUUAAAAAUGUUGUAAAAAUGUAAUAAAAUAAAAUUGUAAAUUAAUUAAAAUAGGUAAUAAAAUACAUAGUGGAAAGUUAGUGGAGGAAAAACAUUUCUCCAUCUUUUUCAUGCUAAGUGAAGCUAGGAGAAGAAGGGGAGAAUGUCAGCCUUAGGGUUUUCCAUUUUCAAAGCUUCAAUUACUUAGUUCAAUUUAGUCAUUUUCUUGUAAUUUUUAUGUUUUCAAAAUCCUGGAAGCUUAAGUUAGUUGACCCAUGAAGAAUUUUUAGGUACUAUUAAAGAUUGAAGAUGUUACCAUUGAUAAGUUUAGAAUUGACAAAAGGAACUAAAUUGUAAAGUCAAUUGAUGGUUUUUUUCAAUAGAAGCUAAAAUGCACAAAUUUCAAUUUUUUGGUGGAAAUGAUAAAUAGGAAGUUCGAUUAGGACUAGAGUGAAAUUGACAUGAAAGACUGAGGCAGAUUUGAAAGUUAUGUUACUCCUAAUUUUAGAGACUAAUUGAAUAAAAUGAAAAAGUUACAUAAAUUAGCAAUUUAAUGUGAAAUUGGUUGUGUAUUGAUAAUUUUGUUGUUUUUCUUAAUCCAUAGCUAACGUUGACUUGAAUUCUCAAAAAAGAAAAGCAAAAACAAAGUCGUCGACAAAUAACUCAGAUUUUACAAUUUAUGUUCUAUAAUCCAAACUAUCUCAAUUGUUGCAUUUAUGAAUUUCAUUGAAUCGUAAGUUCAUAAGGUGAGUUAUAAUUGAUAAAAUGGAUUGAAAUGAUUCGAUACGAAUUGACUGUCUAUGUUAAGGACCGAAUUAAAUAAAUUUGAAAAUAUUAUGUGUAAUUUUUAAAUAUGAAAUUGUAUUAAUGUUGUGAUGAGUAGGCUGUUAUAUAUGUAACACCCAGUACCCAACCUAGACGUUAAGACCAAGUCAGGAGGCUACAUCAAACCAAUAGAAAAAUCCAACCUUAAUUGUAUAAAGUUAAUAAUCAAAAUCAUUGACAUGAACAAACCAAUGUAGAACUCCAAUUUAUAAAUUGAAAUCUUAACUAAACGCAUAAAAGCAUAAGUUUAAAUAAAACAUUAAGUAAAAAGAAACGAGAUGACGAGCUCCUGCCACGCCAACCUACCUAAGUUCGUGGGUUACUUGAAAUUUAGACAAAAAUCCAAAUGAGUUAAUAACUCAGUGUGUGUGUAACUUAUACUCAAUAUCAAUUAGUAAUAUACAGACGUAAUUUCACUUUCCACAGAUUAACCAUUUCUCAAAAAUAGAUACAGAAACAAAAAUAAAGAAUAUCAUAUACAGAUGCAAAACGUAUCAAAUACAGAUGCAGAUUCCUACCCCAUCUACUACACACCUCACCGUCCAUCCCGACACACCAUACAGGACAUCAAGUACCCAUCCAUCCUUACACAUCGCGUAGUGACUGUAUGUCACAUUUCAGAAUAAUUGUAGUAUAGCUGCCAGAUCAGAAUGUGAUAAAUCGCCAAAACCAGAAAUGUGUAUAGCUUAGCCACCAGAGUUGACAGAUUAUUAAAUGUCUCACACUUCUUUCUUUAUUCAGUUUCAAUCCUGAUGCAGAUGUAGAUUUAACAAGUACCAAAUAUAAUGGCAUAAUAAUACAAUUUCAGAUUGUGCUCAUGUAAUGCUAUCACUCUUACUUAUCAGAUCACAAAACAAAUGUUAUAUUUAUAUCAAAAUAACAUAUUAUCCAGAAAAAGAUUGUUAGAUAACAGUUUCAAUGUCUAAAUCAAAUCAUACGGACUUUACAGUAGGCCUACAUUUGAUUUGAACGACGAUUAUGGCCCUAGGGAAAAAUCCUAAUUUUUGGCUCACACGCCCGUGUGGAUUCACAGGAACAAAGUGGCUAGCCUGUUUGGCCCAAAUGACCUAGCACACGCCUGUGUGGCUCAAAAAUGUGAGUUACAUGAUCUAGCUCUUGGCCAAACGCACGUCCGUGUGACUCAAAGCUCGAAUUAUCUCUUACACAACUUGGACACACGCUCGUGUCUCUGGCCUUUUUGUUUCUAAAUCCAAAACAGUGAGUUACAUAGCCUAGACACAUGCCCGUGUCCUUGGCGCAUGUGACCCUAAUUUAGAAACAGUGAGUUACACGGGAGUGUGGCGUCGACAACCAUGUCUUCCAGCGUUCGCAAAUUGUAGAAAGUCUAGUUUUCGUUAAGCACUUGGUAUAGUUUCAAUGUAGGAAUAACGAAGAAGAAUCCUAGGACCUAAAACGACCAUUCAAUAAGAAAUUAAAUGACCUAAUCAAAAAAAUGCAUACAAUUUAGCACUUAACUAACUAUGUCAAAAACUUCAACACAAAACCUCCAAAUAAAGCUAACACUUACUGACGAGUCAACGACAAUUGCUCAAAUUAGCGCAUUAGAGAUCGUUAUCUUCGAUAUCUACACCUAAAAAGAAAAUCAAAUGAAGCUUAACAGAGAAUUCAAGCAAAUCAAAUAGAAAUCAACUUAAACAGAAACAGACAAAAACGAACGUUUAAUAGAAAUUCUACAAUAAAACUCACGCAAUUAACCUUUCAGUUGAUAAUAAUGAAAUGUGCACUUCCCCGAACACAGUUGUAAAAAUUUAAUGGAAAAGUUCAACAAUUGAGAAAACAGAAAAAAAAAGAAAAGAAGGGAAAAGGAAAGAAGGAAAAGAAGAAAAAAAAGAAAGAAAUAAUGUAAAAGAAAAAAAUAUAAAUUUGAGGAAACCAUUUAAUUUUUUUUAAAACAAAACUAAUUCUACAGACUAGCAACAACAUAUCCCUGUUUCGCUUACACAAAGACUUAAACACAGGAUUAGGAAGUAUAUAGAAACUUAACCAUCAAACCAACAGGCUCGUUCUUAAAACAUAUUAACACAAAAAUAAACUUAAGUAAAAUGUUCAAGGAUAAGGGUCAAGUCAAACAAAAUAACAAUAUUUCCAAAAGUGAAGUUUGAACCCCUGACCUCCAACACACAAAUAGAGCACUUAGCCACAAAUACAUGGAUUUACUUAUAUCAGAAUUUAUUAAACAACACUCAAAUUUUUGGGCAUUACGAUAUAUGAGAAUAGUUAAUUGGUUGAUUAGGACUAUAAUAUGGAAAUUCAGGGUUACUACGUGUCGGGGAGUAUUGGGCACCCCAUUUUUCAGUUAUACCAACUAAUGCUGGGCACAUAUAUUUUUCGGUUUUACUAACCAGUACAGGAUGUAAAUUAUUACUUUCAAAUUUAUCCGACAUACACUGGGUGCCAAAUUGGUGUGUUGAUUAGAUCCGCAUAUCCGUUCGAGUUCGAGUCAGGUUAAUAGGGAAAUAAAAAUGGAAACUGGAAUAAUGAUCUGUGAAAUGAAUAGGAAUAAUGAUUAUUAUGUUCUUGAAUUCAUGAUAUGGGAAAAUUUGAGAUGAAGUGAGAUAUUAAUGCUUGAGAUUUCAAAUGGAAUAUGAGAUGGAAGUGUUAUACCUUAUUCUAGUAUGUUUUGUUAGAUUUGGAUAAUGAAAUCAAGAAGUGUUUUAAUUGACAUGUUAAUUACAUAUAAUAAUUUAUUCUUAACUUAUGUAUUUUAAAUGCAUUAUGAUAUGUUUUAAUGUUUGGAUUAUAGAAAUACCACUGAGUUAUACUCAGCAUACAAUUUUAUUGUACUUAAAUGAUUAGGUUAUGAAUUCCACUAUUAUAAGUGAAGUCAUGUCAUGUAGAAAUCUUAUAUCAAAUAUACCAACUUUCAACUCUAUUACCAAUUUCAUUAAGGCUUUUAAUACAUCAAAGCACACAAGUCACACACACACAUAUUCUAUUAUUUAUUUAGGAUUGAGGUAAGUCACACUAUGAACGUCACAAGUGAAUGAAUUCAUAAAUGAAUUUAAGAUUUAUUGUACUUGAGUCUUAUAUGAUGUACUAUUAGCUCAAACAAUCACAUCUAUGUCUCUAUAUUGGGAUUUAUCUAUUCUAAUACCCAAGAUAAUGUAUCUCUCUACUUAGACCUGAUAUAUGGCAUAAUAGUCUUUUAAUCAACUUGUUCAAUUUCAGUUAAACUAUAAACUAUUUAGAUUAUUUAUUAAUAUAAAUUGUCUUUUCACAUUAUGAUCUAACCACAUAAUGAAAAUUAAUAUUAGUUAAACGUUAUAAUCAAUGAGCUAAUAUUUGCUUUCAUUUUGCUUUGUGUGCAAAAACCUUUAAGGGCAUUAUACAAAAGAUUUUAAUGAUUUUGAUGAAUUUUUUUAACCCAAAUUGUUCAGAAAAUUACAAGUACAUUAAUGACAUUACUACGCUAAGGACACUAGAUCCCAAUAGUAUACAAAUCUUUCUUAUGAAUCCAGGAAACUUUUCACUUUUGAUUUCGUUUUAUGGGGCUGAUCAUUGUUUAAGAUAACUAAUAUGUCCUUGGAAUUGAUAUUGGUUGUGUCUGGCUAUAGGAACAUUUGUUUCUCAAUAUAUAUAUUGGUGAAAGUAAAAAUAUUAAUCAUCUAGGUUACAUAGAAAUAUUCUGACACCCAUUGCUUUGUCUACUUCUAGAAUUUCUCUGAUCUCCCUAGUAGGAGCGCCAAUGAUGGGUGUCGAAACCACAAAAUAAAAAUUCCUACAAUAAAAUAACUCUAAAUAGUAGUAAAGAGUAGUAGGGUCAAGUCCACAAAAAUUGGUAAUUAUAGUCAACUUUCGUUAUUCUCUUGUGAACAAAAUUUCUAUCGUAUCAAUAAUCGUGUCAAUAGUCGUGCCCACGACUCCAAACAAACCUGCUAAAAAAUAAAUAAAAUAAAUUAGGAGAGUUGAAAAUGUCUAGAAAUUAAAUGAGAUAGCAUAAAUUAACAAUUAUAUAAAUUGAAAAUAAAAUAAAAUUAGAAAAUGAAUUUGAAUUUUGUAAACAAAAUUAUAAAGCCUUAGCCUUAGACUCAAUGAAGCUCGAUUUUUGAAUCGAUCCUCGCAAAUAAGUUUUGUCCUCCAAACAAUAAGCUAGUUGUAGUGGCUUAUAAUGUUCAAACCACCAAUUCUUCCACUCAUAGUUGAUUCUAGUACGUCCUACAAACCAACCCUUACCGAUUAUCUAAUUGACACACGUGUUCACAAUUCAAGACCUUGAUAGCCUUGCAUUCUGAAGAACCCAACUUGAAUUAAUAGCCUCAACUGUGUGGGAUGUUUAAAUCCGAUCACUAUCUCCCUUGAAAAAAAUCCCACUAGUAUGACCAUGCCAGGAUACGCCAAUUUGUUGGAGGAAAUCUAAAUACAGCACGGCUGACUCAUCUUCCUAACUGUAUGCCAAAAUGACUCCAACCUAACACGUGCUUUUGAUUUGAAAUCGAGUUAAUUUUAAGGGAUAAAUUUUUCAAUCCCAAUAUUUUGGAGAGAUGUUGAAUACCGUUAUGAAAGAUUUUUAGCGCAGAUACAUUUCUCACAAUUCUUGACCGAAAAGAAUACCAGCCUAAAGUUAAGUAGAGAUUUAAUGAAGCAUGAAAUUAAUCAUGUUUUUGUCGGUUUAUGGAAAUAGCUUAAAUGGAAAUGGUGGGAGAUGAAAUAAGGGAAGGACUUGAGAAAUACUUAACCCUAAAUAUUGAAAAGGAAAAGAAAGUUGGCAGAAUGCCUGUUACUAUUUCACGCAAAAAAAAGAAAGAAAUGAAUUGAUUUUUUUAUUCAAUUUGCAGGAAUUCAAGGUGUGUCUUUUCAAGUCCACCAUACAUCCUAUUUAUAUACAAACCAUAUACUAAAAUUAGGCUAAUCCCACCUAUCCACUAAUUAUAUGAAAUAAAAUAUCAGAGUAACCUUUAAAUGUCUCCAAAUUUCUAAUUUGGCCCCUAUUAAAUUUUUCAUACUCCAAUUGAAUCAUUUUCUGCUUGUUUUUGCAUUAAAGCAUCUGAAUUGCGUUCCUGACAAGAUUUAAACAUAAAAUUCAUCAAUAAGUAGGAAUUAAUUCAAGAAUAAGUUUAUUUAAGCACGUAAAAUAAGCAAAAUAAAUAUGCUAUCGAAUCCCCCCUUUCAAGUCUUCCUUUCUACCAAAAGCCAUUUUGGCUAAGCAAUCUGCAACUUGGUUAUUCUCCUUAAAAAUGUGCCUUAAAAGCCAUUGACCUUCAUGAGACAUAAUGCGUAGGAAGUAAUCUGUAACUUGGUUAUUCUUCCUAGAAAUGUGCUUAAAAGCCAUUGACCUUCAUGAGACAUAAUGCGUAGGAUCCUUCUGAUCAAAGCAGAGUUUGAAGUAUUCAAGACACUUUAUGGAAUGACUCUGACUACCUCCAAACUGUUAGAUUGAAUUAUCUCCUUAUCAUGUCCUCUUCGUUAAAUGAGCUUGAGACCAUCCAGAAUGCCCCAUAGUUCAACAUAAAAAAUUAAACACUUCCCUAGAUAUUGGUUAUACCCAAAAACUCAAUCCCCAUUUUUAUCACGCACUACCUCCCAGCAACAGCAAGUCCCGAACCCAACUUGUCACAUCCCAAAAAUUGGGUUAGUAAAAAUUAGGUUAAUGAACCAAGAGUGGUCACACCCCGAUUAUUUUUUAAGGUUAUUGUAAUAGCCCAAAUUUACCCGGGCCCGUGAAAUAAAUAAAUAAAUAAAUAAAAACAAAAAAAACAAAAAAUUAUUAAUUAAUAGAGUCCAUUUACAAGUUCAUUAACAAAACCCAAAUACCUAAAACCCAACAGCCCAACUAAUGACCCAAGACCCAAUUAGCCUACACUACCCAAUACCCGGUUACACCCAAAGCCCAAGUACCUAAAUGCUACCCAAAGUUUAUACAUAGGGCCCAAAUGGCCCAAUAAGUUAACUGAAGGCAGAAGGCCUAGGGUUUCAGAAACCCUAGGCGCCGCAAAAACCCCAGCUAUCACGUCGUUUCAUCUCGCGUCGUUCCAGUCUCCAUCGACGCCGUAACUCUAGCCUUGUUUUACUCAGUAAUUGGCGUGCCAAUCCUGUCACCGGUAGAUUUGUAUCAUCAGCACAUGAAUCAACACCAGCACGUUCAUCGCUAGAUUUCUCAUCGUCACCUGCAAAAGAGGAAAGAAAAGCACAGCAAACAUGGUAAGAAUCGAGCAUAGAAUAUACAAACUUGUAAAUAGAGGCUAUAAAAAGCCAAAUGAUUUCACUAUAACGGAGGGGGGUUUUUUUAGAGACAAACUUAGAGACAAAAAGUGACGAACAGAUAUACGCAUAUACAGCAAAGAAAGAAAUAAAAGUAUUUUAAAAAAGGUGAUUCAGUUGUCUAUUCAUUUCUGUUUCUUUUUUUUUUCUAUGCUUAAGAAUCAUUUCUUUAAAAACGGGCUGUUAAUAUUUAAAAGAAAAAGGUUACCUGAGUUUUACCUGGAAAGAUGAAGGUUUUUAACCUUCCAGCCACCGUGUACGGUGGCACGUGUGGGGCGUGGACAUGUGUUGCCCAGUGACCGGAGGCCGGAGGCCGGAGCCUAGAUGGCCUUUUCCUUUCCUUUUUCAGAGGAUUUUAAAGAUUUUUUUUUGGAACAGUUUCUAAAAUGAAUUUUCGGCCAAAAAACUAACUUAAAUAGCACAAUGAAAACAGUGUCGUUUUACUUAAUCUGAUAAGUACCAAAAUGACACCGUUUAAGCCCAGGAUCUGCAUGUUGACCCGAAACUCGGAUGAGAUCCGCGUGUUUUUAUUAAAAGGGCAAAUUAUUCAAUCGAUCCUUCCGCAUUUUUAAUCUUUACAAUUUCAUUUUGUUUUUAUUUUAAAUUGACCCCAGUCUUCUACGAUUAAUUCAAUCUAGUCCUAAUGGCUAUUAAAGCCUAUUCUGGGAACGACGUCGUUUUAUGGGAUUAGGGCAAAUUGCCCAGUGAGUCCCUUGUAGUUUUGAAGGCGUUCCAAUUAGGCCUAAAUUUUUUGUUAUUUUAAAAUUAGCCCUAGAACCCUAGUUUUAUUUAAUUUUAAUCAUUUUAAAUAUUUUUGCAUAAUUUAUUUAUCAAAUACCUUAUAUAUUAUUUAUUUUUAUAAAUAUUAGUUAUAUAAAAUAGUAUAUAUUAUUUUUUAGUCAUAUAUUAUUCAUUAUAUUAUUUUUAUUAUUAUACAUUUUAUUUAUAAAUUUUAUUAUACAUUAUAUAUUUUACUAUAUAUACUAUUCCUUGCAUUUUGUAUUUUUAUUUCAUUAUAAAUUAUGUAUUAUUUUAUUAUUAAUUAAUUUUGUAAAAUUUUAAUUUUUUUAAAUUAUUAUUAAAUAAUAGUAUAUAUAUUAUCCUUAUUUAUAUGAUAGUUAUCAUAUUAUUAUAUUUCAUUAUAUUUUAUUUAUAUAUUUUGUUACAUAUCAUAUAUUAUUAUAUAUUAUUCCCUAUAUUAUCUUCCUUUUAUUAUAUAUUAUUUCAUUAUUUAUUUUUUAUUAGUAUAAAAAAUUUAAAUUUGUAAUUUAUUAUAAACUAAUACAUAUAUUGUUAUUAUAUAUAUAUUUAAUGUCUAUAUCUAAAAUUUACUACAAAAGUUUGUUCUAAUUUAACAUCCCUUUUUAUAAAUAUAUCAAGCUACUAUAUUAAAUAAUAUAUAUUUUUUAAAUUUUUUUAUUACUUAUAUAUUGCUUAAUAUUUUUUUAUUGUUUUCAUUUUGUUUUAUUUCAUCCUUCUUUUAUUAGGUAUUGUUUUAACACGCUAAUUUCAUCUUAUAAAUUAUUUGUUAUUUAUCAUGUUAUUUAUUUAUUGUUAUGUAUUCGCGUGCAAAUUGAUCAUUUUAUGUUAUUAUGUUAAGAAUAUAUUCGCAUGAAAUAUUAUUAUAUAUGUUUAAUUUCAUUAUUCUUGCUGCUUUGUACUUUUGUAUGAAAUGAUAAUGUGUAUAUUCAUGUUAUUUGUGAUUAUGUAUGUAUGGAAUAUUAACGUAUAUUGUGUGAUUUAUGUCAUAUUUACCAUUUUCAACAUUAUAUUUGCAUGAAAUGUUAAAUACGUAGUUUAAUUAAUCCAAUAUUGAUCUUUUGUAAUAGGUUAAAUGCAUUAUCGUUUUUUAAUUUUUAUAUUUCAUUUAAUCUAAAGGAAUCUUAAAAAACAAGGCAAUGUCUUUUGUAUUUAGGAAUUCGAGAAAUAAUGCCCUAACAUGCUGGAUUGCGAUUUCCCGUUUGUCUAAAUAUCUAAAGUAUCAUUUUAAUAGAUUUUACAAAUUACGAGAUGAUUUUUUAGUUACGAAAGUUUAUGAAUAUCGUGUCCAAUCACGCUGGAUGUGAUGUUCGCAUUCUUUUGGGACGAAGGAAUUUUGACUUUCAACUCAAAUUAUUACGGCUUUAAAAGAGAUCUUAUUGCUAAAUUCUUUCAAGCUUUUGACAUUAAGACAAAAAUUAUUCAAAUUGGUACCAGUUUUGGGCUUUACGAGGGUGCUAAUCCUUCCUCGUGCGUAACCGACUCCCGAACCUAUUUUCUCGUAAUUUCGUAGACCAAAAUGUUUUAUAAAGUGAUCCAAUCACAUUUAAAAGGUUGGUGGCGACUCUCGUUUUCAAAAUACCCUCCCCAUUUAAAACGAGGUUUCGACAGCUUAGCGACUCCACUUGGGACAAUAAGAGAGUCAAGCCAAGAAAUUGAUUAUUUUCUGUCUUAAUGUUGGAAGUUUGAAAAAUUUUACAUAUAUUGAUCUUUUUACAUAUGUUUGCUGCAUAUGUUUGUUAUCUUGUUUUCGCACACAUUGCAUUUGCAUGACCGCUGUGGUCGCACCCCUAAGUGGGAGUGAGAAGCUACGCUUUCGUGAGGUUUUUAUCUCCAUAUGAGCUAGUGGAUUGCUUCCAGGAUACUGUACCUAUGUCUUCGUGAGAUUUUCAUCUCCGCAUGGCAAUAGGGAAAUGUGUCCCCCUAAACUGAACUUGAUCUAUAUGAGCCUAUAAUGGGUGAGGACCGAGGAAUCUGCUGGUUCAGGUACCCUUGCUUUAGAGCUGAAACGCAUAUAGUGAGCUUUAGGUGCUUACCCAAGGGAGUAAAACCUUUAGAAAGCUAUCAAAAUAAAUGCUUGUUUGUUAUACUUUUAUAUGAUACUGACUUACGUUAUUUUGCUAUCAUUGCAUGUCACUCAACAUUUAAAGGUGUUGAUUCACGGUUCAAUUUCUAGAUUAGAAAGUUUUGUAAUGAGGAACGAAUAUCUUGAUAAAGUGGAGGACAAUGCCUCUGUUUGUACCUGGUCAGAGAAAACCCAGUUAGAGAAAGGAGAUAGUAUUACCGAGGGGUAUACCUCAGAGUUAUGGGAUUUCACUCGUAUUAAUUCGACAUAGAAUGAGUUUCAAGAGUUGAGAGACAUUUGGGCCCAAUGGGAUGACGAGGCUAAGCAGCUUUUCUAUCAGAAUUAUGGAGAUCUUCCCUAUUUGCUAGACAUCAAGGUGGAUAAGCAUCUGUUCCAAGCUAUGGUAUAGUUUCGGAACACUGCCUAUAGUUGUUUCACAUUUGGAGAGGUAGACUUAGUCCCUACUUUGGAGGAGUAUACGACCUUGCUUCGCUGCCCAAAAAUUCAAGGUAACAAAGCUUAUGUUAGGGCUGCUAAUCCCCCAACUUUCGUGAAGAAAUUAAUGACAAUUACAGGGGUGAGUGAAUAGUGGGCCGCAGCUCGAAUCCAACAAAAGGGUGAUAGCAAAUGCAUUCCGUGGGCAAGUUUGAGGGAUUUGAUAUUGGCACACCCAGAUGUGAAGAAAAAGGUUGAUGUUUUGGCUUUAAGUAUGUAUGGAUUGAUGAUUUUCCCAAAAGCUAUGGAGCACAUAGAUGAGGCAGUUGUAGAUUUAUUCGAUCGAAUUAGUAAACAGAACACGCCUGUGCCUGCAAUCCUGGCCGAGACGUUUAGAUCCUUGAGUGCAUGUCGGAUAACUGGUGAAGGUAGAUUCAUUGCAUGUGUACAAUUGUUGUUAGUUUGGUUCCACAGUCACUUUUAGAAGGUUGAUAAGGUUCCUUGCCGGGUGUUCUUUAAAGACUAUUCUCCGCUAAAGGAAGUAGUAGCUAUACUGAGGAGGGAUGCCAUUACAGAAGAAAGGUGGAUAAAAUAAUUUAGAACCUCCGAGAAGAAGAUGUUAUGUGGAAAGCCCCUUGGAUGACCCCAAGCGAAAUUCUUUAUCGGUGCGGAAGCUUUGAUUGGGUACCUCUUCCUGGAAUUUGGGGAGUUGUUGGUUAUACACCAUUACUUGUCUUAAAUUAAUAAAAGGCGGAGCAGUUUAUAUCGGCAACACAAGGGCUAGCUCAGAGUGACUUCUCAUAUAAGGGGGAUCACUCUAAGAAGAAGAUGCGAGAAAUUUCUGAGGCUUGGAAGAAGGUUUGCUGCGUGAAGAUUCUAACUAAAGGUCCGACGUCAACUCUUGAAUACAAAGGGUGGUUUGGUAAGAGGGUCAAUGAUAACAUCCUUAUACCCAGUUUGGAGGCUGCUCGAUCAAUGGAGGAGAAUUUAUGAGUGAUUCCAUUAUAUUUAGAGGUCAUAAAGUAAGAGUUCGAAAGGAAGAGUUUGGAGCUUGGAAAAAAGAUAGAGAGGCUCGAUGAGGAAAAUAUGUACCUAAGCUUAGACAUUGACGUUCAGAAAAUCGAGGUCGAAAAUGUAAGAAAAGAAAAGAGGAAGAUUGAGGAAGACUGAGAUAAUUUGAAGACACAGUAUAAGAAGACACAGCUAUCAUUGAAGAGGGCUAGAUUGGGGAAGUCUUCAGAGCAGUGGCAACAAGAGGUUCAAGAAGAAAGAGCCAAAGCUGAGUAUUGGGAGAAGAAGUUCCAAGAGAUGCAAUCGCGUAAUCAGGCCCUAGAGAAGGAGAAUCAAGGAUUAAAAACUAAGGUAACUGAGCUGGGACGAUCCCUUCAUCAUCACCGAAGUCGUAACUCUAUGGUCGAGUUAAAGGCAAGCCUGGAUAAGAUCGAGGAAAUAAAGCACAAUAUUGGAGGGUUGGAAGCAGCACUACAUGACUGUGAGCUACGGAUUGAGCAGCUCGAGGCAAGAGAAGAACAUUGGAAGGGAGAGCUUCACCAUUUUCAGGAUCAAGUCAGAGAUAGGGACUACCUCAUGGGAGAAGCUAUAGCACAGAUUCAAGAGGUUGCUGAUCAUUUGCAAGCUAAUGUGUUAAGUACAAAGUAUGAGUUAGUGUCAGAUAGAGGUCUAGAGUUAGCUUCCUUAUUGAAUAGGGUUAAAACUUUGGGCCUGAGGGCAAAGGCGUACUUGUAAUCCGUUUUGUGUAAAGAUUUUUGUUUCUUAAAUAAUGUUUUCUAAAAGAAAUUGAAUCAGAAUCGAUAUCUUUUUACAUUCAUGCAUUUGCAUCUCAUCACAUCAUAUGCAUCCAAAUUUAUAGAAAGACCUUAAUUAGCUAAAAUUAAUAGGGAGAAAGAGAGUAAAAGAAAGAAAAUCUGGAAGCAACACAUCCUUACGGUACACGCGCUAAGUCAAAGAAUAUGGAUCAAAGACUCGAGCAGAUUUAGAAAUAAAUACAGGAGAAAUUGCAAGAGCAAUUAGCAAAAAUCCAACAGGAGAUGAAGGAUCAAAUGUUGGAAGCUCAAAAGAAUAUGAUGGCUGAGAUGGCUCAGCUGUUGAGGGGGACAACAGAUACAGGAAAGGCCCCUAUGACUACCACUGAGGAGGAUAACGAGGGUCAUCCUCCUGGUUUUACUCCGCCUCAUUUGUAGACUCAACCUGAGGCAUAUCCCUGAGGGCCGUCCGUCACAAUAAGGCCUCAACAGGGACAAGUCGAUGCUGGAAUACCCAUAAACUUUCAAACUGGUUCAGGAUUCAACCUUGGAGACAACCCUGCCAAUCCAGUUAUACCUGAUCUAGAUGUAGCUGAGAGGGAAGAGAUGAGACUCGAAUUAUCAAGGCAAUUAGAGGAACGUUGUAGAUAGUUAGAGGAGAAAUUUAAGGCACUAGAAAACGUUGAUAAUCGUCAGGGAAUUGAAGCUAAGGACUUGAGUCUGGUCCCAAAUUUGGUGCUUCCCCAUAAGUUCAAAAUGCCAGAAUUCGAUAAGUACAAUGGGACUACUUGCCCAGAAGCCCAUAUCACCAUGUUCUGCAGACGAAUGACUGGUUAUGUAAACAAUGAUCAAUUAUUGAUCCAUUUUUUCAAGAUAGUUUGGUUGGGGCAGCAGCUAGGUGGUAUAAUCAAUUGAGUCACGCAAGGAUCGGUUCUUGGAGAGACUUAGCGCAAACCUUUAAGCAGCAAUAUAAUCAUGUGACUGACAUCACUCCUGAUAGAAUCACUUUGCAAAAUAUGGAAAAGAAGCCUAAUGAGAGCUUUAGGCAAUAUGCAUAGAGGUGGAGGGAGGUUUCCAUGCAAGUUCAACCACAGCUCUUGGAGAAAGAAACUAUCAUGCUGUUCAUCAACACUUUAAAGGCCUCAUUCAUUACCCACAUGAUUGGAAGUACCACCAAGAGUUUUGCCGAUAUAGUUAUGGCGGGAGAAAUGAUUGAGAAUGCCAUAAGAGGUGGCAAGAUAGAGGGGGAAGCUACUAAAAGAUCGGCCUCAAGAAGGAAUGAUAAUGAGGUGAAUAAUACGAGUAGCUAUAAUUCAAAAGUGGUUACGGUUAGUCAGCCUAGAGUAACUACGGUUGGGCAACAAGAUUCUUAAAAGCAGGGAUCUGGUUUGAGACAGAAUUCUGAAAAGGUCUCAUUUACGCUUAUCCCAGUGACAUAUCGGGAGCUUUAUCAAAGUUUAUUCAAUGCGCAUGCAAUAGCCCCUUUUCAUUUGAAACCGUUACAACCCCCAUACCCUAAAUGGUAUGAUGCAAACGCCAAAUGUACGUACCAUGCGGGGAUAUCGAGGCAUUCAAUUGAAAAUUACACUGGUUUUAAGAAGGAAAUGGAAAGACUAAUCAAGAUAGGGGUCGUAAAAUUUGACGACACCCCUAGUACGAGAACCCGUUGCCAAAUCAUGGUGAUCAAGGGGUAAAUGCAGUUGGGGAUACGGGUUUGAGAAGGAUUAAAGAGGGCGUGUCAGAGGUGAGAACGCCGAUGAAAAUGAUUUGGGAAGAAAUGGUGAAAAGAGAGAUGAUAAUCUUUAAAGAGAGGAAUAAAGGAGUAAGGGACUACUGGAAGUUCCAUGUUGAAAAGGGCCACGAGAUCUAGGAAUGUGACGAGUUUAAGGCCUUAGUAUAAAGCCUUAUGGACAACAAAGAGUUAGAACUUUAUGAAGCUGGCUCAAAUGAGGGACAUAUAUACACAUUAGAAGGUGCACCGAAGAAUCAAAACCUACCGAAGAUUAUUAUUUCUUUACCAGGAAGUAAUGAAGUUGAAACACCAAUGGUACCGAAAGUUAUCAUUCAUAAACCUGUUUCCUUUCCUUAUAAGGAUAACAAGAGGGUACCCUGGAAUUAUAACUGCCAUGUGUCAAUGCUGGAGAAGGAGGAUAUAGCUAGUGCUUCUAAGGAAGCUCAAGGUGAGGGUUCUUAUACAUGUAAUGGGAAGCGCUACGAUGCAGAAGGCGUCAAAGUUGAGCCUGUAAAAGCAAAAGCUUUAGUCAAAGGAAAAGGGACUGAGACACUAGUUAAUGAGCCAGUGAAGGAAGAAGAAGCCAGAGAAUUUUUAAAAUUCUUAAAACACAGUGAGUACAGUGUGGUUGAACAAUUGCGCAAAUAACCAGCUUGUAUAUCAGUGUUGGCUUUGCUUCUAAGUUCAGAGGCACAUCGGGAAGCAUUAAUGAAGGUGCUCAAUGAGACUUAUGUUACUAAUGAUAUAUCCGUCAACAAGUUGGAUCGAUUGGUUAGUAACAUAAGUGCUGAUAAUUUCAUCUAUUUUAAUGAUGAUGAAAUCCCACCUGGUGGCAUGGGAUCAGCUAAAGCUUUACACAUCACCACUCGUUGUAAGGGGUAUACAUUUCCAAGUGUGCUUAUUGAUAAUGGAUCAGCUUUAAAUGUCUUGCCAUUAUCGAAAUUGAACAGAUUUCCCGUAGAUAGUUCUCACUUGAAAACAUUCCAUAAUGUAGUGAGAGCAUUUGAUGGCACGGAAAGGAAGGUCAUGGGAAGAAUCGACAUUCCUUUGAUGAUUGGAGCAAACACAUAUGAGGUGGACUUUUUAGUGAUGGACAUCAAGCCCUCUUACCCUCAUCUUUGCACCAAAAAUUGAAGUUAGUAGCUAAUGGAUGGUUGGUCACUAUAAAUAUGGAAGAGGACAGCAUAGCGACAGUUACCAGUAGUGUACCUUAUGUAGAAGCAAACGAGGAGGCAAUUGAAUUCUCUUUCCCUUCAUUAGAAUUCGUCAACGCAACAUUCAUUUCAGAGGGGAAUGAGGUGCCGGUGCCCAAGAUAUCCAUAACUACAAUGAUGGGUUUGCAAAUGACAAUGGGAAGAGGAGCCUUGCCAGGAAAAGGAUUGGGAAGAUAUCUUCAAGGAGGGAUUCAAAUUCCAGAGUUAAGGGAGAAGAGAGACCGUUUUGGUUUGGGUUUUAUGCCAGAUCAAAAGCAGCGAAGGAGGGAAAUGGAGAAGCGUCAAGAAAGGAGAAGGGCGGUUUAAAUGGAAAAGAAAUAGGGUGGGAAUCGAUGACGUUCCCCCAUAUAUCCCAAACCGUUGUAUCGGGAGGGAUAAUUCACCCUAAAGGAGGGUUGCUUGAAGAAGAAAGUUAUCAUAUCAAUGCUGUGCAUAAUGAAGAAUUUGGACAAGAAAACCUUGAGGUCAUUUGCCUUAACGAACCGGGAAGCUCUUUGAAUAAUUGGGUUGCAGAGGAACUUCCUGUAGUUUUUAAAUAUUCUUCAGAGUAAUUUCCAGAACACUCUUAUUACUCUAAAGCCUAGGAGUAGUAAGAUUUCCUUUGUAAAAUAGGCUCAUGUUCAGAUAUUUACAUUUCAAUAAAACGUAACUUCUGUUAUCAAUUCAAGUGAAUAUUCUUCUAUACCGUUCAAUAUUCUUUGGACCUUUACAUUCUUUCAUUUCAUUCAUAACAUAAAAAAAAAGUCCCAAAAAUUCAUUUAUUCUUUGUACAUUCUUUCAUACCCCGCAGGUCCCUAGAUAUCAAUGACAUGAGCACUGAUACUACAAAUCCUAGAUUCUCUUUUGAGCAAGACAUGUGUUUAGAAGAACUUCAGGAUUUUGAAGAUGAUAAGGAUUGUGAUAUGUUCCCAGAUCUAUUGAGAAUGGUGAAAUAAGAGGAGAAACAAAUCCUACCCUGUGAGAAAGUGGAAAUAGAGAAUGUAGCCUUGGAGAAAGGGAAGGAGGUGAAAAUUGGCACACAUAUUGCUAAGGAAACGAGACAAGGCCUUGUUGAGUUACUACAGGAAUUCAAAGAUAUCUUUGAAUUUUCAUAUGAGGAUAUGCCGGGUUUGGAUACUGAUAUCGUGGUACAUCGUCUCCCCAUAAGACAAGAUUGCAAGCCAGUCCAACAAAAAUUGCGAAGGAUGAGGCCUGAUAUUGUGCUGAAAAUAAAACAUGAAGUCAAAAAGCAGUUUGAUGCUGGAUUCCUACAAGAGGUUAAGUAUUCAGAAUGGGUGGCCAACAUUGUGCCUGUCCCUAAGAAGGAUGGGAAGGUACAGAUGUGUGUUGAUUAUAGAGAUCUGAAUAAAGCUAGCUCGAAGGACAACUUUCCCUUACCGCACAUCAACACUUUGGUGGACAAUACAGCGGGAUAUUCGUUAUUCUUCUUUAUGGAUGGUUUCUCAGGGUACAAUCAGAUAAAGAUGCAUCCUAAGGACAUGGAUAAAACCACAUUUAUAACAUUAUGGGGCACCUUUUGUUACAAGGUAAUGCCCUUCGGGCUAAAGAAUGCAGGGGCAACAUAUCAAAGGGCUAUGGUGACCUUAUUUCACAAUAUGAUGCAUAAGGAGAUUGAGGUGUAUGUUGAUGACAUGAUUGCUAAAUCUCGAACAGAGAUGGAGCAUAUUAAAGUCUUGAGGAAAUUGUUCCUGAGAUUAAGCAAAUUUUAGUUGAAGCUUAAUCCGGCAAAAUGCAUCUUCAGAGCUAGGUCGGGAAAGUUAUUGGGCUUUGUGGUCAGUGAAAAGGGAAUAGAAGUUGACUCAGAGAAGGUUAAAGCCAUACGAGAAUUGCCUCCACCACGUACUCAGAAGGAAGUUCGGGGUUUUCUUGGAAGAUUGAAUUAUAUUGCUCGGUUUAUUUUGCAAUUAACCGAGAAAUAUGAUCCUAUAUUUCGCCUCCUUAGAAAACACAACCAAUGUAUUUGGGAUGAAGAAUGCCAGAAUACUUUUGAUAAGGUUAAGCAAUACUUGUUAAAUGCUCCAGUGUUAUCUCCGCCUAGUCCAGUGUUAUCAGUGUUUAGUAAUUCAAUGGGAUGUGUGCUUGGCCAACAUGACGAGUCGGGAAGAAAAGAGAAGGCGAUAUACUACCUCAGUAAGAAAUUCACAGAGUGUGAGAUGAGAUAUUCGCCAAUUGAGAAAUUGUGUUGUGCUUUAAUCUGGACGACUCGAAGGUUGAGGCAAUAUAUGUUAUAUCAUACGACUUGGCUAAUUUCAAAACUUGAUCCAUUAAAAUACAUGAUGCAGUCAACAGCACUAAAUGGAAGAAUGGCAAGGUGGCAAAUAUUGCUUUCAGAAUUUGACAUAGUCUAUGUGAGUCAAAAGGCUAUAAAAGGAAGCGUGAUAGCAGAAUUUCUGGCUAGCAGAGCUUUAGAAGAUUAUAAGCCGUUGAGCGUUGAUUUCUCUAACGAAGAGUUGAUGUAUGUGGUAGUCGUUGAAGAAUAUCCUUGGAAACUGAACUUUGACGGUGCAUCUAACGCGGUAGGAAAUGGGAUUGGGGCAGUCUUGGUAUCCCCAAAUGGUGAUAAUUAUCCAUUUACAUGUAAGUUGGAUUUAGACUGUACAAACAACAUGGCUGAAUAUAAAGCAUACAUUAUGGGGAUUCGAGCAGCUAAAGAGUGGAAAAUCAGAACUUUGGAAGUAUAUGGAGACUCUGCGUUAGUAAUAUACUAGCUUAGGGGUGAAUGGGAGACAAGAGACCCCAAAUUGAUUAAUUAUCGAAAGGUAGUUUUGGAGUUACUUGAGGAGUUUGAUAAAAUUACCUUCAAUUAUCUCCCAUGAGACGAAAAUCAGAUGGCAGAUGCCUUAGCAACACUGGUUUCCAUGAUUAAAGCUAAUAAAGAAGAGGAUGUUAGACCAAUUCAGAUGAGUAUUUCCGAGGUUCCAGUUCAUUGCUGUAACAUUGAAGAGAAGGAAAAGAAUGACCAUCAUUGGUAUCAAGAUAUAUUAUGAUAUGUGAGAAAUCGUGAAAAUCCUGAGCAGGCAACUGAGAAUGACAAAAGAACUUUGAGAAGGUUAGCCUGCGAAUAUGUCCUAGAUGGGGAUAUCCUUUAUAAAAGAAGGAAAAAUUAGGUACUUUUGAGAUGCGUUGACGCUAUAGAAGCUAAAAAAAUCCUAGAAGAAGUACAUGAAGGAAUUUGUGGUACACAUGCUAAUGGCUUUACGAUGGCAAGACAAAUCAUGAGGUUGGGAUACUAUUGGUCUACUAUGGAAGGAGAUUGUAUCAGUUAUACCAAGAAAUGUCAUAAAUGCCAGAUAUAUAGAGAUAAGAUUCAUGUACCACCUUCACCCUUACAUGUUAUGACUUCUCUAUGGCCCUUUUUCAUGUGGGGCAUGGAUGUCAUUAGGCCAAUAUCACCAAAAGCUUCGAAUAGGCAUCGUUUCAUUUUCGUGGUCAUUGAUUACUUCACAAAAUGGGUAGAGGCAGCUUCUUACGCUAGUGUCACUAAGUCAGCAGCAGGGCGAUUCUUGAAAAAAUGAGAUCAUUUGUCGGUAUGGAAUGCCUGAGAGGAUCAUAUUAGAUAAUUCAUUGAAUUUGAACAACAGCACGAUUGCAGAAUUCUGCAGCCAAUUCAAGAUUAAACAUCAUAAUUCAUCUCCAUAUCACCCAAAGAUGAAUGGGGCAGUGGAAGCUGCUAACGAAAACAUUAAGAAAAUAGUGGGGAAAAUGACUGAAACCUACAGAGAUUGGCAUGAGAAAUUACCAUUUGUAUUCUUAGCUUACCGAACGUCCAUCAGAACCUCUACUGGGGCAACUCCUUUCUCGUUGGUUUAUGGGAUGGAGGCAGUGUUACCCAUUAAAGUUGAAAUACCUUCUCUUCGAAUUUUAUCGGAGAUAAAGCUAGAUGAAGUAGAAUGGAUCCAAUCGCGGUAUGACCAAUUAAACUUGAUUGAAGAAAAGAGGCUAAGGGCUAUUCGUCAUGGUCAGAUGUAUCAGAAGCGAAUGAUGCGAGCUUAUGAUAAGAAGGUUCGUCCAAGAGAAUUUCACAAAGGAGACCUGGUGCUGAAAAAGAUCCUUCCCAUACAGAAGGACUUUAGAGCAAAAUGGAUGCCAAAUUGGGAAGGGUCGUAUGUUGUAAAAAAGGCUUUCUCUGGGGUGCUCUGAUUUUAACAGAAAUGGAUGGGAAAAGUUUACCCAAUCCAGUGAAUUCAGACUCAGUCAAGAAGUACUUUGUCUAAAGAGUAUGGAAGACAAUGUGAAAACCCACAAAGGGUGCUUUGAGACUUCUAAAAAAAAAGAAAGGAGAAGCCAAUGUGAAAACCCGCAAAGGGCGCUUUAAGACUAAAGGGGUUUGAGUUGAAAACCUGAAAGGGCUGCUCAAAUUUUGAGAAGCAUACAGUGACCUUGCUAUACCAGACUUGAUGAGAAGUGGAGUGUGUUACAUACUGGGGCAUCAACGAAGUACUUUGGAUCUUCUAAACACAUGUUAAACUCAAAAUAGUCUUCAUAGAAUUUGUACAUAGAAGCUCAAGCUGUGAUAUGUUGGACAUCGAAUUUUUGUUCUGUUUAUUAUCUUUGUAUUCCUUUUCUUCUCAAAGAUGUUUUCAGAUUAAUUUCCUAUUGUAUUUUGAUGAUUUAUCUAACUAUUCUCAAGAUUAAAUCAUUUGUCUUCCAUUACUCAUAAAGAGUGUUGUAUUAAAAUAAUAAUUGACGAACUAAAUAUUUUUACAAACGAAGUUUUGCAUAUUACUCUGGAAAUCUCUAGAGAAUACAAGAAACUAAAACAGAACAAUUACUUGAAGAAUUCCCAUGAGUAAAUGUCGAAGGUACUCGAGGAAAUUUCUUUCCAAAGAUGUUUGGACAAUUCAAAUAAUUCAAUCUUAGGAGAGGAUUGUUUCUAGCAGAAUGGUACAAUAGGACCAAUCUAAUUCAAAACAAAGGAGCAGAGUUUGAUUGAUAUUCUGAGGUGGAAUUUUGAUGGAUAAAUGAGUAAGGACGUCUGAAAUAGGAAUCAUUUUCAUAACAUUUUGCAUAAUUAGGAGCAUUUGAUUUAUUUUGAGCAUGGCAUCUUAAUCAUAGGCAUGAGUACAUAUGCAUUCUACAGGUUAUGUCCUUUAAGGGACAAUGUAGAUCAAAAAUAGCAGAUGUGGCGUCUCUGUAUUGUCAGAGAGUAGAUCGAAGAUAGCAGAUUUGACAUCUCUGUAUUGUCAGAGAGUAGAUUAAAGAUAGCAGAUUUGGCAUCUCUGUAUUAUCAAAGAGCAGAUCGAAGAUAGCAGAUUUGGCAUCUCUGUAUUGUCAGAGAGCAGAUCGAAGAUAGCAGAUUUGGCAUCUCUGUAUUGUCAGAGAGCAGAUCGAGGGCAUCUCUGUAUUGUCAGAGAGCAGAUCGAAGAUAGCAGAUUUGGCGUCUCUGUAUUGUCAGAGAGCAGAUCGAAGAUAGAAGAUUUGACGUCUCUGUAUUGUCAGAGAGCAGAUCAGAGAUAGCAGAUUUAGCGUCUCUGUGUUGAUAGGAAGUAGAGUGAAGAUAGCAGAUUUGACAUUCUUGAGUUACGGUGAAACAAGUAUGAAGCUAUCAGAAUACCUUUGAGGAAGAGGAGGAUUAAGAUUUCGGGACAUUGGCCAGGCCGAGCAAAUUUGGUCCUUUUGUAAUCUUUGCUCUAUUCCUGUUACACAGUAACAAGCAAAGAGGGGCAGCUGUAAUAGCCCAAAUUUACCCGGGCCUGUGAAAUAAAUAAAUAAAUAAAAACAAAAAAAACAAAAAUUUAUUAAUUAAUAGAGUCCAUUUACAAGUCCAUUAACAAAACCCAAAUACCUAAAACCCAACAACCCAACUAAUGACCCAAGACCCAAUUAGCCUACACUACCUAAUACCCGGUUACACCCAAAGCCCAAGUACCUAAAUACUGCCCAAAGUUUAUACAUGGGGCCCAAAUGGCCCAAUAAGUUAACUGAAGGCAGAAGGCCUAGGGUUUCAGAAACCCUAGGCACCGUAAACACCCUAGCUGUCACGUCGUUUCAUCUCGUGUCGUUCCAGUCUCCAUCGACGCCGUAACUCUAGCCUUGUUUUACUUCGUAAUUGGCGUGCCAAUCCCGCCACCGACAGAUUUGUGUCAUCAGCACAUGAAUCAAUGCCAGCACGUUCAUCGCCAGAUUUCUCAUCGUCGCCUGCAAAAGAGGAAAGAAAAGCACAGCAAACAUGGCAAGAAUCGAGCAUAGAAUAUACAAACUUGUAAAUAAAGGCUAUAAAAAGCCAAAUGAUUUCACUGUAACGAAGGGGGGUUUUUUUUAGAGACAAACUUAGAGACAAAAAGUGACGAACAGAUAUACGCAUAUACAGCAAAGAAAGAAAUAAAAGUAUUUUAAAAAAGGUGAUUUAGUUGUCUAUUCAUUUCUGUUACUUUUUUUUUCUAUGCUUAAGAAUCAUUUCUUUAAAAAAGGGCUGUUAAUAUUUAAAAGGAAAGGGUUAUCUGAGUUUCACCUGGAAAGAUGAAGGUUUUUAACCUUCCGGCCACCGUGUACGGUGGCACGUGUGGGGCAUGGACAUGUGUUGCCCAGUGACCGGAGGCCGGAGGCCGGAGUCUGGAUGGCCUUUUCCUUUCCUCUUUCAAAGGAUUUUAAAGUUUUUUUUUGAACAGUUUCUAAAAUGAAUUUUGGGCCAAAAAACUAACUUAAAUAGCACAAUGAAAACGGUGUCGUUUUACUUAAUCUGAUAAGUACCAAAACGACACCGUUUAAGCCCAGGUUCCGCGUGUUGACCCGAAACCCGGAUGAGAUCCUCGUGUUUUUAUUAAAAGGGAAAAUUAUUCAAUUGAUCCUUCCACAUUUUUAAUCUUUACAAUUUCAUUUUGUUUUUAUCUACGAUUAAUUCAAUCUAGUCCUAAUGGCUAUUAAAGCCUAUUCUGGGAACGACGUCGUUUUAUGGGAUUAGGGCAAAUUGCCCAGUGAGUCCCUCGUAGUUUUGAAUGCGUUCCAAUUAGGCUUAAAUUUUUUGUUAUUUUAAAAUUAGCCAUAGAACCCUAGUUUUAUUUAAUUUUAAUCCUUUUAAAUAUUUUUGCAUAAUUUAUUUAUCAAAUACCUUAUAUAUUAUUUAUUUUUAUAAAUAUUAGUUAUAUAAAAUAGUAUAUAUUAUUUUUUAUUCAUAUAUUAUUUUUAUUAUUAUACAUUUUAUUUAUAAAUUUUAUUAUACAUUAUAUAUUUUACUAUAUAUACUAUUCCUUGCACUUUUUAUUUUUAUUUCAUUAUAAAUUAUGUAUUAUUUUAUUAUUCAUUAAUUUUGUAAAAUUUUAAUUUUUUUAAAUUAUUAUUAAAUAUAGUAUAAAUAUUAUCCUUAUUUAUAUGAUAGUUAUCAUAUUAUUAUAUUUCAUUAUAUUUUAUUUAUAUAUUUUAUUACAUAUCAUAUAUUAUUAUAUAUUAUUCCCUAUAUUAUCUUCCUUUUAUUAUAUAUCAUUUCAUUAUUUAUUAUUUAUUAGUAUAAAAAAUUUAAAUUUGUAAUUUAUUAUAAACUAAUACAUAUAUUGUUAUUAUAUAUAUUUAAUGUCUAUAUCUAAAAUUUACUAAAAAAUUUUGUUCUAAUUUAACAUCCCUUUUUAUAAAUAUAUCAAGCUACUAUAUUAAAUAAUAUAUAUUUUUUAAAAAAAAUUUAUUACUUAUAUAUUGCUUAAUAUUUUUUUUAUUGUUUUCAUUUUGUUUUAUUUCAUCCUUCUUUUAUUAGGUAUUGUUUUAACACGCUAAUUUCAUCUUAUAAAUUAUUCGUUAUUUAUCAUGUUAUUUAUUUAUUGUUAUGUAUUCGCAUGCAAAUUGAUCAUUUUAUGUUAUUAUUUUAAGAAUAUAUUCGCAUGAAAUAUUAUUAUAUAUGUUUAAUAUUCAUUAUUCUUGCUGCUUUGUACUUUUGUAUGAAAUGAUAAUAUGUAUAUUCAUGUUAUUUGUGAUUAUGUAUGUAUGGAAUGUUAAAGUAUAUUGUGUGAUUUAUGUCAUAUUUACCAUUUUCAACAUUAUAUUUGCAUGAAAUGUUAAAUACGUAGUUUAAUUAAUCCAAUAUUGAUCUUUUGUAAUAGGUUAAAUGCAUCAUCAUUUUUUAAUUUUUAUAUUUCAUUUAAUCUAAAGGAAUCUUAAAAAACAAGGCAAUGUCUUUUGUAUUUAGGAAUUCGAGAAAUAGUGCCCUAACAUGCUGGAUUGCGAUUUCUCGUUUGUCUAAAUAUCUAAAGUAUCCUUUUAAUAGAUUUUACAAAUUACGAGAUGAUUUUUUAGUUACGAAAGUUUAUGAAUAUCGUGUCCAAUCACGCUAGAUGUGAUGUUCCCAUGUUUUUGGGACGAAAGAAUUUUGAUUUUCAACUCAAAUUAUUACGGUUUUAAAAGAGAUCUUAUUGCUAAAUUCUUUCAAGCUUUUGAUAUUAAGAAAAAAAUUAUUCAAUUUGGUACCAAUUUUGGGCGUUACAAGGGUGCUAAUUCUUCCUCGUACGUAACCGACUCCCGAACCUAUUUUCUCGUAAUUUCGUAGACCAAAAUGUUUUAUAAAGUGAUCCAAUCACACUUUAAAAGGUUGGUGGCGACUCCCGUUUUCAAAAUACCCUCCCCAUUUAAAACGAGGUUUCGACAGUUAUCUUUGCGCAUUUUUUAAUAAAUAGAUAUCAAUUAUAGUGAUUGAGUAGUGGUGGAGCUGUCCAUGAUGAUCUAUGUUCAAAUCUCUUCCUUUUUGUUAAUUUCUAUUUGGUGUAAAUUUGUUUAAAAUCCUUAGCAUAAAUCAUCCCAUGUUUUAUUUAUUUUCUUGCUAAAUUAAUUACUAGGAAGUGAGUGGUAGAGUGGUUAAGUUUUUAAUUAAUGUCUUAUGGGUCUUAGGUUCAAGUCUCUUUAUUAACAAACCUUUUAAUUAAUUUUUGUAAUUUUUUCCAUGUGCAAAACACCCCAUUGCCGUCCAACUUUCUUGCCAUAGUGGGGAAAAGAUUUUUUCCUUUUCUUUUUUUUGGUCAACAUACCUUAAUUGUGGAGACUGUGAUUCCCUUUUCACUCCAUUGUUCCCUUUACUUGCCAAUUCCUCCAUUUUGUCCAUAUGAAUGGUUGAUUGAACCUAGACAAGGUUAACCACACUCUUUCCAUCCAUUCUAUCACUCUCCCCCUCUCAUUAUAGCACCACCCUUUACUCAUAUUCAUUUCCACUCUUUUUUUCUUUUGUUUAGCUCUCAAUCUUCCUUUUUUGCUUUCUUUUUCUUUCUCAUCCACCAUUUCUUGGCCUUUAACCACUAUUACCUUACUGCCGAACCUUCUUUGCACCGCCACUUUUCUCCUUUUUUCUUUUCAAGCGUUGCCCCUAGUGCCACCCUCCACUACCGUGGCAACCACCAUGCAACUUCUCUUUUUAUUAUUAUUUUAUUUUCUCGUCCCAUUUCUCCUCAUUUUUUUUUGAAUCAAAAAACUGGAUCUUCAUUAAAAUAAAACAAGCCCAAAGACUAACAAAACCAAGUUUAAAAAACAAAACAAAGCAAACGGCUUAAAGGCCCCAAACCAAAACAAACAGAAACCACAACACACGGCCUAAAGGCUAGACCAAAGUAAAAACAAUAAAAGAAAAGAAAAUAGAUCUAGCAUAUUCAAGAUGGGGAGCUUUAGAGACUUCCACCAGCUGUAAACCAAAUUUCUCCUCAUUUAAGAAGUGAAAGAACUCAUUCUUUUCUUUUUCCUCCUCUGUCGUAUCACUACCGCCUCCGUAGUCAGACCUCCAUCGCCGCUUCGCGCCUCCACCAACUUUGGUGUUUAUUUCUCUUUUCUUUACCGUUUCCAGCUUCUAUCAUCCUUAUAGUAAACGAAAAUUCUACAAUCCUAUUUCAAUAAGUUUAAAUAUUAUGUUUUAAAAUAUGAAACUUAGUGACUCACUUUUUCAAGUGAUCAUUUUCUAUAGAUUCUUAUCCUUCUCAAGAGCAUGGUGAUCCUUCAACCUUCUUGAUUUAAUCUAAAUAGAGUAAGUAUGGUAGUGGAAUGAAAUAUACUAUUCCUUCCCUAUUUUUUCUUGCAGGUCGUAUGUGUUUAAGGGGUUUUAUGUUUUUUCCUUUAAGUAUUAACGCAUCAAAUUCUACUUUUGAUGAAGGGUCGAUCGAUACUAUUCUGGAAAACCCUUAACAUUGGGAACGAGAUCAAUCUUCGAUUGAUUAUUAUUAGAGUAACCUAUCGAUUAGAUCCGAGUGUGGAUGUUUCUUUAAAGUGAUGAUUUGCAUUGGAUCUACUAUCAGGUGUGGGUUUUAACACUAAAUAAAAUUGAGACAUGUUUUAUAUUGAUAAAAACAUUGUUAUUUAAAUAAUGUUAAUUGAUGGGGAUAUUAUAUGUAUUCAUAAAGAGAGAUAAAUCAUCAUUAUGGAUUUUAUCAAGUAAGUGUUUCUCCAAACCGUAUACGUUGUAGAAAGCAUUUCUGUGAUAAUGUGAAAAAUAUGUACAUCUCAUUCUUAAGUUAUGUGAUUAUAUAUAUGGCAUAUGUGAUAUCCAUAUGAAAAUAAAAUGUGAAAUUUUGGUACCAUGAGUACAUAUGUGAUUUGCAUGUUAAACAUGCCUAUAUGAUUUCGAGUGAUUUUGGUCAUCUUACAUGCAUGGGGUGGGAUAUGUGAAAGGUGGAAGUAUAUGGCAAUUUAUUUGCAUUAAUGAGACAUUGUUUAUGAUUUGAUUAUAUCGCAGUUUAUUUAUGACUCUGGUGGCUGGUCCACGAUUUUGAUUAUGUGGCAAUUUAUCUGUGUUACUGUGACACUGUUCACAAUUUGGUGUGUUAGAUGGACGAGUUCCGGAAAAACUCAAUUUUGGUGCGUAGUGGAUAUGGGUAGGACUGUUUUCAUAAAAUCUGCAUCAUUUUAUGAAAUGUGCAUUGAUAUGAUCAUGUAUAGUAUAAGUGUGAAAUAUUGAGUUACAUGAAACUGAUAUGAUUAUUAUGAUUGUAUAAUGUAUAUGUUUAUAUGUAUGUGAUUGUGUUUAUGUUAAUCUCAUUUUGAGCUUUAUAGCUCACCCCUCUUUAGUUUUCUGAUUUUACAGAUAACCCCAUGGCUAGGAUUCGACGACGACAUUUGGAGGAGUUUCUCGGAAUUCUUUUUAAGUUAAAGUAAUUAAAAUUUUAUUUUGAUAUUUUGGAUUGUAAUAAGUUUGAGUAUGGAUUGUGGCAUGAGACUUUAUUUUGGGGAUUUUUCAUUUUGAUUUGCAUAAAUUUCUUGCAUGAGAUUAAGUUUUAAAAACUGCAUAAAUUAGUAUUUGAUAAGAUUUUGCUUGAAAGUUAGUUUUUAAAUAGAAUCUGUCAAUAACACAUUUUUCUGCUGCAUUUCUGAAAAAUGAGUUUUUAAUAAAAUUAGUCUUAGUUUUCAAAAUUAUUAAUCUUUACAAAUGAGUUUUCUAAAGACAUUUGAUUUAUGAAUUUAAUGUGUUUUUAUUUUCGAAAUAAGGACAAAUAACCAAGUUCUCUAAAUUUUGAACAAAAAAGACAUGAUUUUGAAGUAUGAUUGAAAAUCCGAAAUAGUUUUGAAUAAAUGAUUGAAUAUUUACAAUGAUGAUAUUCUUUAUUUCGAUUCUUGAAAUUUGUAAGGUUUUUAUGAAAUUAAAAUAAACACUUUAUUUCAUUUGUUUUGAUUUGAUAAGCCAAUAUUUUAAAAUAUAUUUUUCAAAAAUUCCGAAAGAUUAUUUUGGCCAUUUUCAUGGAAUGAUGGAUUUGAAAUGUGAUUGAAAAUAAAUUUUAACAUUCGAUUUUACUAGUUUUGAACGAACUGCUUAAAAAGUAUGUUUGAAAUUACAAAAGUUUUUCUGGGUCAUUCCGGUGGCCAAUAUAGCUUUCCAAAUUCAGCCAAAUGAAUGGGUCGGGUUUAGGGUGUUACAAAACUGACAACACCUUCAGUGUUUAAAAGAACCCAAUUCCCUAUUGUUGAUUUCCCGAAAGUAUAUUCAUGGAAGCAGUCUGGCUCAUAUCUAAAGGCAGAAAAUUAUUGUUUAGCCUAACUAUUCCAAAUUUUGACUAUCUCGCUUGAAAUCCAAGUUAUGCCUCAAAAAAUAAAGAGAUUAUGAUUCUUCCAGAGGCGUCAAGUGAGUAAUCGAAAUAGGCAAGCCUAAUUUGCUCCUCCCCCAUGCAACUUCGAAUGGUCCUAUAAAGUAGAAGCUAUCCAUUCAUGUAAACUAUCCAAUAAAAAAAAACUUUGUUUGUUGAUUAAUUGGAAUAACCUGUAACCAGACUUGCUUUGCUGAUGAACAGUCUCUAAGAACAUGUAGGACAAUCUUCUGAGCCAUGACUAUAAAUAGGACAUGAAGAGUUAAACCCAAUAUGUAACACCCCUAACCCAUAUCCGUCAUUGAAAUAGGGUUUUAGAGAAUUACUAGAACAUUCAGAAAUAUUUACAAAUAACUUAUGCAAAUUACUAUUCAUUUACUGAGAUCAUUCAUGAUGUCCAUUGAUUAGGCCCUCAAGGCCCAAUAUGAGCAUUAGAAUUGAGUCGGGACUUAAUCGAAAACUUUAAGAAUUGUUCGCGACCUUUUAAAAAUUUUCCAAGGUGCAGGGCUCGUACGCCCGUAUGGUCAAAGGGACACGCCCGUGCUGGAGGCUGUGUUCGACCCCGUGUAACUCUCUGACUUGCACACACGGCCAUGCCACACACCCGUGUGCUAGGCCGUAUGUUAAUUAAUUCAAUUUGAAAUUAGGUGCAGGUUUUACACGGCCAAGAUACACGCUUGUGUUCUAGGCUGUGUGGCACACAUGGCUGCGACACACGCCCGUGUCUCUACCCGUGUGCUCGAUUCUGAGCAUUCUGUUUCUUAAAAUUUAGGUGCAGCAGACACACGGCCUAACCACAUGCCCAUGCUACUAGGCCGUGUGUCACACACAGUCUAGAUACACACCCGUGUGGACAAAAUGAAGCCAUUUCUAGCUUCAUUUCUCACCUAAAAUUUUACCCAUGACCUGCACUUGAAACACACAUCCAAUACCAACCAAUCCAAGCAUUCAACUUAAGCAAAUUUCAUCAUUCACAAGGCAUAUCACUACAAGCAUACAUGAUCACAACCUUACCUUAGUUUAACUUAGGCAUUCACAACAUUGAUCACAUAUUAUUAACAUUACACAUGUGUAUAUAUAUAUCAUAAUAAUCUACUUAGUCAUACCAAAAUGAACCAUCACUAGUCAUUCCAAUGGCUAGGUGACAAAAUAACAUUUCAAGCCACUAUUGGUCAAGUUGUCCUAUACAUGCCAUUAUACCAACAUGAUUUUACUAAGUAUACCCAAAAUGACUAGUUGAUAGUGUGACAAUGCUCCAGUGAUCUCUAACCCUCGUGAGUUUCUGAGCACUAUAAAACAAGGGAAAAAUAAAACAGAGUAAGCAUUACAUGCUUAGUAAGUUUGUAUAACAGAAACUAAACUUACCAAUCUUGUUUAUUAAAUCUAAGCAUACAAUAACACGUUUUCCAUCCAUUUGGCUAAAUUGCCUAAACACAUGCAUCCGAUCAAACAUGUUAGUCACAAAGUUUACAUAUACACCAAGUAAGAAUAGAUGAGCUCAUCAUGUAAUACAGUUUCAAGACAUUAUCAUUUCAUCUCAUAAUUCUCAUGUCAUGUUAAGGGUUCUAUGUCCGUUGAAUCAUUGAAAUUCCGAUGGAUGCUUACACUCAAGGUGUACGAUUCCAUAAUCCGUCAAUUCUUAUUCGAUGGUACCCAUUAGGGUAAUUAAUCAAGGAACACACUCUCAAGCCACAUAUCGUAUAAUAGGAUUACUAGUCCAGGCUAAAUCCUUUAUAUAACGUAUGCUCAACGAGUUCAAUUAGGAUUACCAGUCCAGGCUAAACCCUAAUCAUAACGUAUACACGAGAGGUAUUAUAUCAAGAUUACCCGUCCGGGCUAAAUCUUUUCUACAACAAGGUUAAUGGGAUUACUUGUCUGAGCUAAAUCCCAUCUGCAACAAAUACAGGACCUUAUUCAUUUCGGGAAAGCGCAUAUAUUCAUCAGAAUUUAAUAUUCAAUCGAAACUUAACCUUUUUUCACAAUAUCAAGCAUGUAUUAAAUUUUCCAUUAUAGCAUUCAAGUAAUGUACAUCAAUAUAAAUCACAUUCCAUACCACACAACAUUCAAUUAAACAUAUUUACAUGCCCGAUGAAGUUACAUGAACUUACCUCGACACUUGUUCGCGUUAGAAAUCUGCUAAUCCGAAACCUUUUCUUUUCUUCGAUCUAACCUCAAAUUUUCUUCAAUCUAACCUCAAAUUAGUGUUGUCCGGAUCUAUAUAAAUAGCUUUAAUCAUCAAUUUCACAUAUUUCAUAUUUAUUUGGACCCAAUUUGCGUCUUAGAUAAAAUUAUAAUUUUACCCCUAACUUUUCCAUAAAUUUCAAUUUUGUCCCUAGGCUAGGAAAAUGAAACUUGUGCAAAUUACUCCCUAUUCCAAGCCUAACCAAAGCCCCAUUACAAAAUUUACAGCACCUGUACUCAUGAAAAUUUAGAAUUUUUCAUCAAAUUUUACAACUUUACAUUUUAGCCCCUAAAUCAUGUUUUCAUCAAAAAUCACUUUGUAAAAGUUGUUUAUCUAUCAAUAAUCUUUCAUUUUCUACCAUAAAUUUCUAAUUUCCAGCAUAUACAUCCAUGACCUAUUUUUCAUACCUUGAUAAUUUUUCAAAUUAAUCCCUCAAAUAGAGAGAUUAAGCUAUUCCGAUUUCAAAAAUAUCAAAAUUACUAAAAGGGGACAAGGAAACUUACCUAAUUAGGCCUUGAAAGUUUCUUUUCUCUCACCUAGGGUUUCCAUGUGAUUUUAGGUUCAAGAUGAUGAAAAUAAUAUGAUAUAUUUUCUUUUCAUCUUUAAUUAAUUAAGUAUUUUGCUAUUUCUAAUUUAGUCAUUGCCCUUUUUCUAUAUUUCUAGGGAUGAGUCACCAAGAAAAAUCUACAUACUUUUCUUAAUGGUCUAAUUACCAUAUAAUGACCUCUAGUUUUUAUUUCCAUAGCUAUUUGAUCCUUAUAGCUACUAGAAUUCAACUUUCGCAUUUUAUGUAAUUUAGUCCUUCUCGUAAUUAAACACUUAAUCGAUAAAAUUUUCGUAUCAACAUUUUCACACAACAUGUCUAUUAUAAUACAAACCAUAUAAUGAAAUAAAAAUAAACAUUAUUUUCGGAUUGAAUUUGUGGUCUCGAAACCACUGCUUUGAUUUCACUAAAAAAUGGACUGUUACACAAUACCCCACUUAACUCUUGACACAUUAGUGAGGAGUCUUUGUUUUAAAAUAGUCCAGAUAAAAUAUCGAACUCUUUGGGGUCCCAAGAAAUUUUGCACAAUUUCCCAUUUCACAUAUCUAGAAUUCCAAGAACCUCCCUUCAACAUCCUGUACGCACUUUUAAUAGAGAAAGCUCCUAUAACAGUGUGACACUAAGAAAUGUUAUCAGGACCCUCAGAAGGAUGGGGGGAAUGACCACAACACACCUUAAAACAUUAUUCGAUAACCAAACCUGAAAGAGAUCAAGAUUCCACAUACAUUCCUCUGUGACCAUUUCAUUAAGGAAACAAUUGGAAACAAUAUUAGCAUAGGUAGAAAUUUGCUUAGUCAAAGGCCCUACACCUUGGGUCUAAGGUUCCUUCCAACAUCGAAUGUUAUUUUGGUUACCUACUGACCAGAUUAAGUUUUCUCGAAGUAAAUGCCAAACUUUUGAAAGUGGCCUCCAAAGAAACGAACACAUAUCCCGCGCAAUACAUUUCGACAAACUAUCCUUAUCCUGUAUUUCAAUCGGAGUACAUGGACCCAUAAGGCCUCAAUAUUAGACAUAAUAUUAUACCCAAGAUUUAAUAAAAACGAGGUGUUUGGGUCAUGUAAUUGUCUCAUCCCAUAUUUUGAUUAAUUAAAGUUGAAUAUUAGAAGCUUCAAUAGUUGUUUGUAACUCUUUUUUUUGUAAACAAUUGCGGGUGGUUUAUUAAUGAAAAGUUUUAGUUAUGUUUGUUAUUUGGAAAUUGAUGUUGUUAUAACUUUAUCUAUGCAUCUUUGGAUUUUACUGGGUUUUUUUCCUAAAUAAUUUAAAAAAAUUUAAAUACUGAAAUAAGUUAUCAGCUAGAUUAUAUACGAAAAUGCUAUGUUUUUUUAAGUCGCGCCUAUCUGACAGGUGCAACCACUUUUUUCUAUAUUAAAAUAUUUUUUUGGUUUUUUAAAAUUAUUAUUUUAUUAGUGGUGCAUUUCUCAUAGGUGCCACUACUUGUAUUUUUUCCCAGAUCAGUAUAUGACCCGUGUAGAGAUACGAAAAUGGUAUGGGGGUAGGUGGCACCUAUCUGGUAGGCGCGACUGGUGGAGCCUAACUUACAGGUGUGACUAGCGCUUAAUUUUUCCCUUAUAUAUACUCCCCCAAAAAUAAAAUGAGCAGAAGACACAAAAUUUAGCAGAACAGUAGUAAGAAGAUAGGGAGAAGAAAGAAAGAAAGGAAAACAAAAAGAAGGAUAAGGUUUUUUAGUUUAUUUCUUUUUAAAUAGAAUGUAGAGUUUUGUUAGUAAUUUUAUUAUUUGAAAGUUAUUUUGUUAGGUUAUUAAUUUUGUUAGCUUUUGAAUGAAAAUUUUUACAUUAAAAAUUUUAUUUAACUUUUUUGCUAUUUGAAACUGUUUUGAGAAUUUUGAAUUUUUUUAACAGAUCCAGUAUUGAAGAUGGAGAAUCAGUUUUUCGUAUGCAUUUAUUUUGAUGAAGAAAUUUUGACAACAACUGUGGGAUGUAUAUUUGAAUGUCGCAAACAAGUAGCAAUGAGAUUUAAUAGAAAUAUCUCGUUUGGUGAUAUGAAGGAAAAAAUUAGAGAAAAAAUUUAUAGACAUUGUUGGAGAAAGAUCUCGAAACUUUUCUACAAGUUUCCAGUUUCGACGGAUCCCAUAAAAUUCACCGAGAUGGAACUUGUAGACGACGAAGACAUGGAGAUAAUAGUUGUUCUUUAUUGUGGGACUUGGAGCAACCAAAAUGCACCGAUUAAGUUAUUUGCUAAGUUAGUUGGUGUGGAGCCAACUGAAGAUCCCACUCUAUUAGGUAAAGAAGAUAGAGCUUAAAAGUCGUGUAUGAUGGUUCCGAUAUCAUACGUUGAUAGUCAAUCAACUAUACACGAGAUCGGCAUUGAUCUUAAUGUUACACCUGAGACUGAUAUGGUUAGUGAUUAUGUAUACCAUAGUAGUGAUCCUUCUGAUCAUGAGGAUGAUAGUGAUAGUGAUCCCGACGUGGUCGAGGUCCUAGAUGAUAUUGAUGACGAAUGUGUGAAUGAGGAUGGAAAUGUUAAUGCAUAUUCAGUCGGGAACCAGAUUCGUCGUAUUGUGAUUCAUAAUAAUCCUUGGGCACACAUGUCUCUAAUAGAUCCCGAUGCGGUGCACGCGACCGAGUUUCUGAAGUACCCUGAAAUACUACUUGCUCACUAGAUGGCCGUAUAUUCUGGUCCUGAGGAGUUAUUCGUGGGCCAGAGAUGCGAAAGUAAGGAAGAGUACGUAUUUUCCAAUAAGCAGUAUAACAUGAAUAUAUCAAUGGACUACAAAGUUGUCGUGUCUAAACCAACAUUAUAUAUUGGAGAGCGUUAGAGGUCAGCGAAAGGCUACAAUUGGCAAAUACGAGCUGCAUUUAUCCAGAAGUCGCAGAUAUGGGAUAUAUGAAAAUUUGUUGGGCCUCACACAUGCAUUUCAACACGUAUGACAGAAGAUCAUCAAAAACUUGAUUCUAAAACUAUCUAUACGUGCAUCAUGCCAAUGGUGAAAGACAUCUGACCAUUAAAGUUCUGAUAUUGAUUGUCGAAAUGCAGGCACAAUUCCAGUAUCAAGUAUCAUACCAAAAGGCAAGGAUAGCUAAACAGAUGACAAUAGAGCAAUUGUAUGGAGAUUUUGAUGUAUCAUACAAUGAGUUAUACGGAUGGAUAGCUAUUAUGUAGGAGUACAUACCAGAGACUGUCAUUGAGUUGCAGACACGACCUUAUUAUGGCCCGGAUGACCAACUACAACCGGGAAAAAGAAUUUUUCAGCGGAUGUUCUAGACGUUUGAUCCAUACGUGCGUGCAUUUCCCCACUGCAAGCUAUUUGUGCAAGUAGAUGGGACAUGGCUAUACGAUAAAUAUACACAGAUCCUACUUCUAGUGGUUGUUCAAGACGGGAAUAAGAACGUGUUAUAGAUUGCAUUUACCAUCGUUGAUAAGGAGAACAUGGAGUCUUUGAAAUUCCUCCUUACAAACUUGCGGAGUUAUGUUAUUACUAAUGAUAAUAUUUGCAUCAUCUCCGAUAGAGGGACAUGAUUAAUUGCUGCCAUUAGGCAUUCUAGUGUACCAUGGAGAUCUGUUACUGCAUCCGGUACAUCACAGCUAACUUCUACCAAGAUUAUAAGAAUGCAGUCUGGCGGAGACAAGUUGUGAGAGUGGGUAAAGAAUAAUAUUAUCCUUUCAAUAUAUAACCUAAUGUUUUAGGGCGAGACUGUAGCUUAUAUUUUCUUACACAGAGCACGAGCUAAAGCCACACAUUUUCUGGUAAAGGAUGACUCAACUUGAGAGUGACAUGGAAGGUUAGACAAACACAUCUUUUCGAAAAUGGUUGAGUACCAUAGAGCCGUGGAAAUAGGCUCAAAGUUUUGAUGAGGGUUUUCGUUAUAGUCAAAUGACCACAAACCUGGUGGAGGGGAUCAACGCUGUGUUGUUGAAAACACAACAUCUUCUGAUUUCAUCUGUCUUAUCGGCUGCAUUCUACAAGUUAGCUACCUUGAUGCCAAGAAUGGGUCAGCAAGAAGUUAACCAGAUGGAGGGGGGACACGUGUUUGUCGAAGAUGUCAGGGUAAUGGUUGCAAGCCGACAGAUGGCGAGGUCAAUGAAUGUAAAAGUAUAUUCACAAAGUAAUAAAACAUUUCAAGUUAAAGAGACCAUCAGUCGUUGACCCGGUAUACCACCUAGGUCCUACGGAGUUGAUCUCCAAAAUAGACUGUGCUAAAGUCUCGCUCAAUGUAGAACAAUUUAUCGAUGAAGUGUACACCCUCGAGCACACGUUGCAUGUAUGGGAGAACAAGUUCCCCAUGCUUCCUGACCUAUCUACAUGGGAGGUUCCUCUGACGACCUUCGAGCUUGUUCCAGACAAAGGGUUGCGCAGGAACUUGAAAGGUCGUCCGUAAUCAUUCAGAAUCCAUAACAAAAUGGACAUUAGAGAGAAAUCUGACAGGAAGCUAUGUGGCGUAUGCAGAUUAGUCGGUCAUAAUCAGAGUAAAUGCCCGCUCCGAAACUACCAUAUUAGACAAUCAUCGUGAUCAAGUAGAAAUUGAGAUGUUGUUCAUUACAUGUUGAGAAGAUUGAAUCUAAAAUUUGUCUACAAUUUGUUGCAGUUAAUCUAAUUUGACUUACAAAGUUAAUCUAAAGUUUAUUUAUUUAAAUUGAAAAAAACCAUAAAAUUGAUAACUAAAAUAGCGAAAAAGUUAUUACAUAAAUACAAAGUUUACUAUUUAAAUUGCAAAAAAAAAUCAUAAAAUUGAUAAAUAAAAUGAAAAAAAAGUCAUUACAUAAAUAUAAAGUUUACUAUUUAAAUUGCAAAAAAAAAUAAAAUUGAUAAAUAAAAUGACAAAAACUUCAUCACAUAAAUAUGAAGUUAUUUAUACCCCUUAAAAUUGAUAGUUUGAUGGUGUGGUUCUAGGGGUAUAUUUUUGUGGAGCUUGACGUUCACAUUGCGAGAGAUUGUGUCAAUCAACGUUCUCUUCAUCCAUAUAUGGGGGUGUACGAAACAUAGAGGAAAAAUCAUGUCUCAAAUGCCAUCGAUGAACUUGAGCCGGAAGGAGUGGAGUACGGCGAUGGAUACGGGCCGAGAGGAGUGGAGUACUGAGAUGGAUAAGAGCCAGGAUGACUGGAGUACUAAGAUGGUAGUGGGCUGAAGAUAUCAAACUAUGAAUGAUAUUCGCGGCCUGAAGAGCAUGGGAAAUUGUCAUCGCCCCCAAAUCUGGAUGAUAAGAACUAUCCCCAGAGUGUAGUUCAGGCUUUGCCUCCGGCUCUGGUGCAUGAUACGGAUUUGGAAGGUGUUGUCCAAUUCAUGUCGUAUGCCGGGGGGGACUACCAUGUACCUUACCGCCCACCAAACAAAAAUGGUUUCCCUGUGUCACAGCACCACUGUAUGUACUCCAACAAGGGCUGCAGAUCCAAAGCACGAUCCAUCUGAGGUACCCUCCCCAACCGGUUGUUCCACAUCGUAAUAUAUUCUUCAUCACUUCUUCCUAAUCAUUUCCAUGCUUCCCCCUCCUGUUAAUCCUAUGGAUCUUCCCCAAUCGUACUAGCAGUGUUGGGAUAUACUGUAUGCAACCGAACUGCCAAAGUACUCGAUCGCCAUGAUACCUCUCCACUAUCUGAAAAUUGAUAACGGGUGCGCUAAUGCACCAUAGGUUUAAGUGGACGUGGGCAGACAAGGGAAUAACCGUCAUAAUUUCUGGAAUAGAAUACGACAUCCAAAUGAACUACACAGUUAAUAACAUUGUUAUAUUAACGUGGGUUGAGUGAGAUAAAAUAACAAAAUUAAGUUGAUAUUGGAAAAACUUACCCCUUCUCCAUCAUGAUUCUCGAUCAUCAGAUGGCAUAUCAGAACCGUAUAUGACCUCCCGAUACCCGAAUUAGUGCUCCAUCUACGAAAACAAAUUGUUAGAACAAUAUAAUCCUAAAAAAAGUCAACUAAUUGUUAUAAUGAGUAAAAAUUCAUCACCUAUUAACGAGUGGAAAUACAUAUGAUUGGUGACUAAUAGAUGCCAAGAAUGGCAUCUGGUAAAGUGCCCACAACUGCAUCAGUAUGAGGCUUCCGCCUAUGUCCAUUGCAGAAGGAUCUGUAGUCCGAUAAAGUUCGCGAAACAACAUGGCUAACACUGCGGACCUCCAACUGUAUUAACGAGUGUUAUGCAAAUUGGAUAAUAUGGGUAAGUACAUCAAGUGGACUGUACUUCCGUUUGCAUCCAACAUGAGUAGACCCCCUAUAAGGCGCAUAAUGUAAGAUCGAACAGUCUGCAUCACCUCCCAUUCAUUGGCAGUACUCAACAAAUACUCAAAAUUGGCCUUUAGCCAUGAAAACCUCAAACUGGAAAUUUUCCCCUCACUUGGAGAGCGUCCAAGUAAGUCAUAGCAAAUGACAGCCGGCCUAGAGAUCGAACUUACGCCCGUGACUGCAUUCCCGUCGAUGGAGAGCCCGAGCUGUAGUGUAACAUCCUCUAGAGUGAUGGUGCACUCCUCGCACGGCAAAUGAAAUGUGUAGGUCUCCGGACGCCAUCGCUCGACUAAAGCGGAAAUCAAGUCGUAUCGUAGAUCAAAAGUCCGAAUCAAUGUCGCUGAUUCGAACCCAGCUAACUCUAAGUAUGACAUUAGGCGUUCAUCUGGCAGAAACUCUACAAUAUUAACACAGCCCCUCAAGACGCGGUACGGGCCCUGACAUUAUUAAAUUAGCAAAAUAGUUAAUACAAUAUAAUUUAAUUCCGCAAAUAACAUGAGUAUCAAAUAAAAAUUUCUUUACCAUUUCAUUAAUAGUACUUGAUAUGUGAUUAUUAUUAAUCAAAAAAUCCAUUUGUUGCAAAUCUGCAAUUAAAAAAAAUCAAUUCAUUUAAUUUGUUUCAAAAAAUAUAAUAAUUAUUUCAAAUUUCAGAAACAAAACACGGUAAAUAUCUCAUAAUUUUCCAUAAUUUACCUACAAUAAAAAAAUAUUAGUUUACGAUAAUAUUAUAAUUAAAAUAAAUAUAAACUAUCUAAACAUAAAAAACAUACGAAUUAAAAAAAUAAAAAUAGAAAUAGAAACAUACCUGAUUAGUUUAUUUCAAACAGCCUAUAAAAUUAUAUAACAACAAAUCUAAUCAACAUUUUAGUAAAUCAAUAAAAAUUGUCAAAUAAAUAAAAAUAAAAUAAAAUUACAUUAUUAUAAAUUACAUUAAAAAAUCACAAAACACUAAACACUAACAAUUUAUAUAACCUAAUCAUAAACUACUAACAAAAUAACUAUAAAUUUUUUUUUUUUUAAAAAUACAUUACUAAAAUAUCACAAAACACAUAACUAAACAUUAACAAUUUAUAUAACCUAAUCAUAAAUUACUAACAAAAUAACUAUAAUUUUUUUUAAAUUACAUUACUAAAAAAUCACAAAACCCUAUACUAAACACUAACAAUUUGUAACAUAAUCUCAUAAAUUAUUAACAAAAUAAAUAACUAUAACAAAACACAAAACACUAACAAUUUAUAACCUAAUCAUAAACUACUAACAAAAUAACUAUAAAUUUUUUUAAAAAAAUUACAUUACUAAAAACUCACAAAACACAACAAUUUAUAAUAAAUUACUGACAAAAUAUUUAAUAAAAUAAUUUUAUAUUACUUAAAACUCACCAAAUACUAAACUAAAUACAACAACAAUUUAUAACAUAAACCUAAAUUACUAAUAAAUUAGUUUUAGAAUAAUUACAAACACAACAAUUCAUAACAUAAUCCUAUUACUAACAAAUUGAUUUUAAAAUAAUUAUAAAAAAAUAAAAAAAAUUACAUUCAUACAAAAUAUUAACCCAAAACCAUAAACAUUAAACAUAAAUAAUUUAUAAAUAAUAAUUAAUAACAAAAAAAAAUUCACAACAUAUUAAUUAAACUCUUUAAAUUAUAAACAAAAUUAUUUACUAAAAUAAUACUUUUUGUUUCUUUCUUUCUUUCUUUCUUCUUCUUCUUCUUUUUUUUUUUUUUCUCCUUUCUCUCUUUUCUUUUUCUCUUCCGGUAGUUGCUUGAACUUGGGGGACCAUGCUUAUAAGGUCCCCCAUUUACAAUUUUUUUUUCCCAUGUGAAGGGACUACCAAGCCGUAGAGGGGUGCAGGGAGGGUUAUGCGGGGCAGAGGGGCGUAGGGGGCAGGCAAUUGCGCCUACCUGUCAAGCACGAUUAGUUGUGCCUAUCUAACACGUGCGACCUAUUUUGGGCAUUUUUAACCCGUAUUUUGAUCUAUAUACAUAUUUAAAUAUUUUUUUAUAAAAAUAAAAUAAUAAUAUUUUCUUUAAAGUAAAAAAUAUUUUAAGCGCAAAAAAUAUUUUAAGUGCAACCCAAAAACAUACUAUUUUCGUAACAACUUAUUUCAAUAAUUAAUUUUUUUAAUUAUUUUGAUAAAAAAAUCGAUUUUACUACAUACUUAACUCCACUAAAAAUAAACCAAACUCAGCUGCUUCAAAAACAACAAACUACCGUAUAUAAAACCAAAAACUAACAUUGAAAUUCAGUAGUUGAACUUAAAACAAAUUAAGGAAACCAUUAUACCAAACACACAAACACUAACAAUAUUACAUUAAACACCAUCAACAGCAUACAUAUUAUCCAGAAAAUUAUCAUUCCAGUACAAUACACCAUCUUCUUCCUCUUCAAGUCUUCUACAUUCUUCAUCGUUAUAUUCACCUGCUUCUUCAUUAAUUUCAUUUCUAAUUCCAACUCUUUGAUUACAAAUUUUUCAUCACUUCGGCUUCGUCUAAAUUUUAUCUUCUCCUCAUUUUCUUUUUUCAGUUCACAAAUAAAAAAUUUUGCUCUUUCGCUUAAUUCGAAAUCACGCCAUUUGAAAAAGCCCACAAUCAAACACCUUAUAGUUUGAACCACUAAAUAACCUCCCAUGUCAUCAAUAAAUGGCAUUGUUUUUUUACCACAAUAGCAUAAAACAUCUUCUCCCUCAUGCUCCUAAUAAAUUCGAUAAUAGAGAUUGCCACAUUUGAGUUGAGAUAAUGAAAAAUAUGAACUCUCGAUCAUUUUGUUAACCCUAAAUAGAGAAAUAAAAAAAUCAUAAACUCAAUGAAAAAUAAAAUAUUUUUACAAAAGAAUAGGUGGGGUUAUGGAUAACCCCGAUUGAAUGAAAGAAUAAAACCCAAAAAUUGAAAUAAAUUAUUAAAACAAAACCCACUUUAAAUCGAAACCAGCAGAGCAAAAUCACUCAUGGAUGAUGAAGAAAGCAAUCACAAUGGCAAGCCCUUUUAGGGUGUUCAAAUUUUUGGGAAUUCUUUCAGAAGAUUAAAGACCUUUUUAAGUUUGAUACUUUUGGUUCAAUUCCAGAGUAUCGUUGGACUUUACAAAUAAUUUUCCUUUUUUUUAACUGUUGGAAUUCAAUGAACCCAUCUCAAUUAUUUAACUUUUUCCACAUCAGCAAGAAUACAUGUCAGCAAAAAUACGUGUGGCGUGCGAUCAUGCAUUCUAUUAGCCACAUCACCCAAAGUUAAUGGUCGACACAAUCAACACCGUUCUAUGUUAAUGGAAUGGAUAACAUGAUUUUUUUCUUUAGUGAAUAAGAAAUUGAUUUUUUUUCAUUUUUUGUUAGGGAUUUUUGUAUGCAUGAUAGUUAAUAUUAAUGACAAUGCUUGAAUAGGUAUUGAAGAUAUUCUUUUUCCUUGUAAGAAGAUGUCUGUUAGUAAAAUGCUGUCAGAUGGUGCAGUGAGAAGAGGCUACUUAAUUUUUUCUCGCACCAUACACCAUGCAUGGGAAACUACUAGAUAAAUAUAUGUGUUGUUGCUUCUUUUUUGUUUCAAUAUUUUUUUAUGCUUCAACUUCUUUGGUCAUUGAGCUAAUCAAGCAAAACUUUUUUUUUCUCAGCAGAAAACUUUAUUAUUAAGAAAGCCACUAAAUUAGUGGCAAAAUAAAGACCCAAACACAGGUCAAUGUAAUUCCCACCAGACAAAGAAAACACCACCAGUAAAAGAAGUGUUCAAGAAAUACAGCAAAAAAUGCAAGCAUAAAACAAACCCUGAUCAGGAAAAAAAAUCCCCAUCUUAAGGCCCAAAACCAGCACACAAUACACCAAAUUGGCAAGCUUCACCACCAUGCCAAUAAGAGACUUGUUCUAUUUGUUCCAACUUUUGCAAGUGCAUCUACCAUGUCAUUUGCCUCUUUGAAACUCGUUGACAUAACACAGUUGUUUAUAGUUGACAAAUGCUGUUGUCGAUUUGAUUAAACAUCUCCCUAAGUUUCCAAGGACGAGACAAAGUAAAUUGACACCAGUUCUCCACCACAACUGAGUCCGAUUUGAUAAUAAGUGGAACCAAAUUCUUUCAUUCAAUACUUUCAUAAGUAUUCAAUGUUGUCUUGAUGGCAAUACCACUACCACAUUAGAAUCGGUAAUGCCCAACUGGCUAGAAAACAAUGCUGAAAUAUCUCUUGUCGAAUUCCCUAAGACUCCCCAACAUCUCCCUAGACUCGACUUACCCCUUAUGGAUCCAACGGCAUUAAAUUUGAAAGAUCUGCUUAGAGGUGGAGACCACAAUAUGCCUUUAUGAACAACACACCCACGGCUUGAUGAUACACGUAAAAGUGGGUUAUCCUAACAUGUUCACUCUAAGAUACAAGGAUCUUCUUUCAAAGCUUGAAUCCAGUACAAUGUUCUCAAUUUGCAUUAAAAGAAGAUGUCAGUAAUCUUCCAUUGUUUACUUUCGAACCAAGCCGCGUUACACCCCAACCAAAUAGACCAAAAAUCGCAUGAAGCUAAUAAUCCAUAACCUUUUGACAAUACUUGUGAAAUUAAACUCUAAAUAGCCAUGCAAAAAGAUCGAAAAAUCACAGGGAAAGAAAAAUGAAAUCAGCUACCAAUUGAAAAAUAACGUCUAAAACUCAAGAACCUAGUUGCAUUCGAAAAAUAAAUGACCUUGAGCUUCCGAUAUUACCUUGCACGCUAAACAUUGAAAUGAGGUCUCUUACAACUAGUUAAGUAUAUAGCAAAUAGGUCGAUCUUAUUAUACUAGGAGUUUAGUUGGUUAAUGACAUUCGGUUUUCAUUCAUUAAAUUCAAAUAAAACAAAAUAAAAGGAACUAAGAAAAGUAUCUAAGAAAAGAAGCUAUAUAGAUUCACAUUUAUUGUCACACUUGCGUAAAGGUUAACAUUUAUCUGGUUAUUAUGGUAACAUGGUUUCUUGGCUUGAAACUUUUUCUUGCAGCAAAGGUGCAAACUGGAAAGUUAAACUUGGAAUGAUCAUGCUUUUAAGGUAAUGCUUCUUUUUUAUUGUGAUGAAUCAUUUUGAAAGAAUAGAGUUGCUAAUCAUGGGAUUAAUAUAGAUUUUUGGGUACUUCAUUUUGCAUUUUUCAUCAGUCUUCUCUUUUAGUUCUUGUAUCGUUUCUCUUGAAAAUUAGAUUGUUGAACUUUAGCCAUGGACUUGUGUUAGUUUUUGGUGUUGGGUUUUUGCCUCUUAUUUUUAACUUUUUGUUGUUUUUAUUUGUGUCAUUUCAUUGCUGUUUUCAUUUUUUCCAUAAAUAUCAAUAAUGUUGCAUAUCAUGUUUAAUGGAGGCAUUAUCAGGAUCCUCUUUUCUUUUCUUUUUAUUUUCUGGGCCAACGAAGAGAAAAAGGGUGGUGUGAGUUUUAGCAAUUAGAGGAAUGGGUAAAUUCUUAGGGUGACCUACCGGGAAAUUGUAGUAUGGUGACCGUGUCUUGAUGACUAUAAACUAUUAGCUCUUUAUAUCCAGUGUUGCAAAAUAUACAGGUAGAUAAGUUGAAAGGGAAAGAUGAUAGUGAAGAGAAGAAACCGACAGGCGAUAAACUUUGCAGCUUGAUGCUGACAAAUACAGAUCAGUGACGAACAAUGAUGAUGAUAGCCAAGAGUUUAUAUUUGUCGACCACUUUCUUGCAAGAGCUUUCACAUGGAUUUAGUCAUGACAAGAUUGCAUCAAACAGCCCCUUUGGGUGGAAAAGUGCCGACUAUAAUAAGCAAGUUGGGUUCUUUGGACCCAUUUUUCGAAGUAAUAUCUGAAUUAUGUCAUCACAACCAAUUUCUCUAUCAUGAAAUAUCUAGUGUAUGGAAAUAUCUCAUGGAUGGCUGAUGUUAAGAUUUUAGCUUUUCAACUAUUCUUGAAACACUUGCACGAGCGAGGAUACUUUAUGCUUCCUCACCACUUUGGUUAAUUAUUGACUUGUAAAAUCAUUUGAAACCUAAAUUACUAGGACUCAAAUGUGAAAUAAGACAUGGGUAUGUGUUUGAAUUAGUAUAUUCAAUUUUUUUAGGUUCUCCUAUUAAAAGUUGGAGCAACUAAUUAAACAUCCCACCAUCCCAUAGUUACCUUCCGUUUUUAUGAAUAUUUCAUUUUGUAAUCCCAGUGAGCCUAUUGUCUUGCAUCCUUACAUACACAAUAAAUCAUAUUUGUUGGUUUUUUUAUUAUUAUUAUGAAACUCAUAACUUAAUCCUCCAUGAAUAUGUUUAAGACACAGUUACUCCCAUUGUUAUUAUACAAGAUAUCUUAAAAGAUCAUUAUUUCAUAAACUUGUAUCAAAAGAAUGGACCCCGCAAUCCUAUUGAUUUUUUCUACGAGAGUGAUCUACUGACAUAAUUGACUAUAUGAUUAGAAUGCCUAUUAGGGUUAACUAUAUAGUGAAUAGUAUAUGCUAUUUUAGUCGUUGAUAUUCACCAUAAUUAGAAACUUAAGAAAAUUGAGAAUACUUAUAGACGUAUGUGCGCAUCUGACAUUCAUUAAUGUAAUUUCAGACGUUCAUCUUCUGGAAUCUGGAGUUAUCCAACGAUUAAUAUAGUCAUGUGUAGCAACAUUAUCUGCUUAUAAGACUUUCAAAUGCUAUGAUUUGGUCAUGAUAGGUUUACCUUUUCAUUUUUUUUUUUGUAAUCUAGUAGAAACCAAUGCAUCAUGGAUUGUCGCAUGUCUCACUUUAUUCAUCAAUUUUCUUGAAAUAAAACCUUUCUUGCAGUGAUUACUGACACCCCAUAAUGCACAAAAAGGCUUAAAUAUCUGAUUCAAAGCUUUAUUGACACAGUAAGUUGCAUGAAUCCAAGUUUUAUUAAUUUAAAUCAUUCCAAUGGUUUGUAACGUUCUUUUUUUCUUUUUACUUUACUUAUUGAUAAUGGGUAUAAUUAAUUUCUUUUAAAAGUUUAAUGUACUUGGAGAGUUUUAAGAGAAUCAUCUUCUCAUAUCUAGAUUUGAAUAUGCCAUACAUUAAUAUUUUUAGAAAAAUGAAGAGUGGGAUGAAUAAAGUUAACAUUUCUAUUAUAAGUAUGUUCAAUGUUUUUUUUUUUUUAAUUUCAUCUAUAAGAAGGAUCAUAUUCUUAUAUUUAUAUUGAAAUAUUUGCUGAAAAUAACUAUUAAAUACGGUAUUUUAGAAAAAUGAAAAGUUUAUGUAUCAUAACUUAUCAUUUUAUUAACUUUUAAUUUCGUUUGAUGUUAACAAAAAUCUUUGAUGACACACCAAAAGGAAAGAGAAAGACAGGAAGAG